CCCCACUUCUCUUCCCCCUUGGCCGCCGCCCCCUGCCCAUCUCCUCCUCUCUCAAUUCUUGCAGCCACCAAACCCUAGCCGCCCCCCCUCUCAAUCCCCUCCUCCCAAGGUGCCAAUCCUUGCCGCUCGGAUCAUCGUCGUCGUGGUGCGAGUCUUCAAUCGUUUUGGUGGAGGGAAGAAGGGAGGAAGGAAAGGGGGAGAAUCCAAGGUGAUUUUUGUGUUCAUCCCUUGUUCAUUUGCGCUGCAAUUUAAUUGAUUAGAGGUUGCGUUUGCGAUUGGGGUAGAGGGGGGCUGUCCAGAAUUUUAGGUGGUGGGUGAACAGCAGUAGUCUAGCAGUUUCUGUGUUUUUUCGUGAGGAAUUAAGGGAAAUCAGUUUGGGGAUCAUGUAUAACUUUACCUUACCUUUCCAACGAGUAUUUAUGCGCUCAAUUUGGAGUUAUAAAUUGAAAGUUAUCACCGUUUGAAUCCGGGUAUGUGGCUGUCCAAAAAAAAACAGAUUUUUCAGGGGGAUGAACAACAGCAGUAUUAGCAGUUUCUGGGGAUUUUUCGGGAGUAAUUAGUGUUAAUCAGUAUGAGAAUCAUGUAGGGCUUUAUGUUAUCUUUCCAACAAGUACUUAUCCGCUCGAUUCGGAGUUAUAAUUCAGGAGAUAUCGUUGUUUGAAUCCGGUUAUGUUGCUGUCCAAAAAAACAGAUUUUUCAGGUGGGUGAACAGCAGUGGUAUUAGCAGUUUCUGGGAAUUUUUCGUGGGUAAUUAGUGUUAACCAGUAUGGUAAUCAUGUAGGGAUUUGUCUUAUCUUUCCAAUGAGUACUUAUGCGCUUGAUUUGGAAUUAUAUUUUAAAAUAUAUCGCUGUUUGAAUCUGGGUAUGUCGCUGUCCAAAAGACAAAGAAAAACAGAUUACAGGGUUCAUCUUGUGGACUGUUUUGGGCUAAUUAGAUAUCUGAAUUUAAUUAUAAAUUGUAUACAAAACUUGUGGGGAAUUUUAUGUAGAUGCCUCUAAAGUUUUUGUUUGUUACCACUGCUGUCAUAAUUUUAAAGUUAUGAAAUUAUUAAACAGCGCCGCUGCAGUUUGGUGGGUGUAGGGAGAGAUGUAACCCGCGGCAGGGUUUGAGUUUGUGCGUAGGUGCGGCGUCGCUUAUGAACCUGAUUAUGUGAAAUUGGUGUACUAAGUUGGGUGUCAAAAACAGGUGGUGGACUUCCGGAUCGUACUUAGGGAUUUGCCCGAACUUCCGGUAAAGGCAAGUAAAUACAGUGGUGGUUGCUACCGUUUGGUUUGCAUCCUAUUCCCUGUCAUUGAGUAUGCAUAAGUUUUAAUUAUGUUAAUCAUUGAAUUCUAUGAUGAAGUUUAUUUGUUUGGAAGUAUUAAUUCUCAAUUGUCUAAUAUUGUGGAUGAUCAUAAUUUGAUAAUGAUAUAUGUGGUUGAUUCCCAUCUGGAUGAAGUUGAAGUGUCUUUUUGAAUCAUGUUAUAUGAAGUGUUGUAGGCAUGACAUGCACAUCGCAUCAUCCAUCUUGCAUUUUGAAGUUAUGUCAUAAUCUUAUGGUCCGACCGUACCGGUACAUUUUUUGCAUCGUACGUUGCCCGAGGAGGGGUACGAUGUGGCUUCAUAUCCUUAGAGGUAUGAAGGCAGAAGUCAUCCUUGCAUCUGCAGACAUUUGCACUCAUGAGGAAUAUAUGAAGUGUGACAUUACUAUGUUACUAUUGUGGUUUCUACCUGCGAGGUGUGGUAACUAGGUGCGUUGUACGUUGUAUACGUGCUGCACCUUCGUAAUAAGAAGGUUGUGGAAUUAAGUGGUGGUAAAACAAUGUUCUUAUGUGGUUAAACUGUUUGAUAUUAUUUUACUUCCUGAGAUGUGUCAUCUCACUCUUGCAUUACUCAAUGCAAGUACUUGAUACAUGUUGGGAAUGAGGGGAGUAGCAGCACGUCCACUUUCACUCUCACAAUAACGCUGCCCAGGCGCAACCAUGAUUUAAUUAGAAACUUAUUGUCAAAGGAAGUUUGUUUAGUUUUUUUAUAUGGUCGUGCGCACUGGUUAAUUCAGUUCAGGUCGUAUGUUUAUCUUUCCUUGCUAGCCGAGUAAUAAUACUUAAUAUGUUUUAGUCAUGAUAUAUGUUUAUACUCUGUUGCUCCCUCUUUUAUGCAAUCUUGCAAAGGGGAUGCUGCCGAAAUUUUAUAUAUGGACGUCGGAAGUGUAGUACAGUAGCAUACCGGGUUGUUUGUGGAACCUGGAGUGUUACAGUUGGUAUCAGAGGAUAGGCUUUAGAUUCUACACAGUUUGAAGAUAAAUUUGACACAUUUGCACAUAUAGGAAGGGUAUGGGUUCAUAUAUCUUUCAUAUUAGUAUUUUAUUGUAUAGAUGACUAGAAUUUCCUUACUCCAAACCCCUUUAUGGUUUGAUGAGGUAUGUCGUUAAUGACGUAAUGCUUGAUAUGAAAUGUUACUUCUAUUUAAUAUUGGUUUCUUGAUGUGGUUGUUAUCGAAAUUAUUAUGCGAGUGAAGCUACUAAUGUACUUGUUUUAUAUACAUAUCGUCAUGAUGUUUUUUGGGAUGCAAUGUUUACUAAUCUCUGAGCUAUUACCAUCAUAUAUUUCUAUAUGCUUGACUGUGGAUGUUUUUUUCCCAAAAGGAUUCUUGGGUUCUAGUACUUGUAGUACCGAUUGUUUAUUGAGCUUGUGUAUAGAGGAUCUAAUCCGACUUGGUGUAGUGUGAAAACACUAUACAAUGAAGUUUUAUGGUGUUGUUGAGUUGGAUUGACUGUUGGGUUACAACCCAACUUAUCAAUGUAAUAUUUCCAUGGGUGCAGUGCUUUACACCUCACCUUUUUUUUUGGCUAGUGUGGCUACUUGCCAACUUGAUCUUAUAGUACAAUAGGUUUGUCUCCAUAGAGCAAAGGCAAUGUUGUACUGUCUAUGAAAUCUUGAGACUAGAAGAACUCAAGUGAAUUUGCAAGAUGACGUGGGUAGAUAAGUCCAACCAUGUUUACAUGAUAGGUUUUCUUAUUGUGUGCAACCUUAUCUUUAAUGAUAAAUAGGGUGAUUUCAAGUGGAUUUUAUGUCUAUAUUAUAGUUGAAGAGGCAUGCAUGUUUUCCUUCUAUGGUUUGUUUCUAUAGCCAAAAAGGUUAUGCAUAAUUUCUAUUUGUUGGAGGCUAGUCAUGCGGACGAUAUGGACAACCCGUUUUAUAUUGUUUUUAAUCGCCGAUGAUACAUGGUAGUUUUUUUAUAUGAUCAGUUCUCUAUGCAUGCUUGUGGAAUUAUUAUUUGGACCGCUUUAUCUUAAACAAAGUCAAUGUUUAACUGUAAGUUGCUUAUGUUUGUUAGUCAUCUAUCUCUAUAAUGAUGUGGUUGUUGCAUUAGAUGGAGAUUUUUAUUAUAUGAAUGAUGGUUUGAUAGAUCAUGUAUGUCUACUACUUUGAAUUCAUCCUAUGACAUCACUAGGUACAAAUUGUUCAAGUGCAAUAAUAGGAGGUAUUGUUGUAUGUGAGGUUAAUCAAAGUAGUUGGGUUAGGUGGAUUAUCUUAUUGAAGUCCAAUUACUCCUGUUGAGCAUAGUAUCGUGUUAUUAUUUUAGUGUUGAAAGUAAUAUUUACGAAGCUUUUGCAUGAGUCUGUGUCAAGAAGUACAUUAGUUUUUUCUUGUUGUUAUCCCUCCAUUGCUUUAUGAGUAUUGCAAAUUUUAUCUCUUUUGAGAGGGGAAAAGAUAUUAUAUGACAAGAGCACCAUUUGCUUCACGUCAACAGAAUAGUUUUGGGGAUUUCUAGUAGUUGGAUUCUAGUGUAAUAACAACCAUGUUUUAUAGAGCUGGAGACGGGUAUGUCAGGUGUUUGAUACAUUGUCGGUACAUGGAUGUUUGACCUUAGUGGCAUUAACAAACGAGGUUGUUGAAUUCAUUGAUUGUUGUGCUUAGUGUUCUAACCUAUUUGGUAGAGUGUUACUUAAAGACUUUGUGGAGUUGCAUCCUAGUUUGGUAGUGGAAAAUCCUAGUGUUGAUGGCACCUGCCAAUGACUUGGGUUUCAUUUUAUAUUGUUUUUUUAUUGUUGAUAAUGUGUUGUUUGGUUUCAGGAGGCAUUUUAAAUUAGUUGGAGGUUGAAUCAGGCUUCACUUAUCUAGAAUGUUUUGUAGUAUGUUUCUGCAUCUUUCCAUAGGAUGCUUAAUCACCAUGUUUGGUCUAAACAUUUGAGAGAUAUGGGUUUCUUAAAACAUCUUUGUUGGUGUCUCUAGCAGAGUGAGUCUUUAAUUUUGUACGGAAGAGUAGACAUUGAAGACGUUAUAAUUUGGUCUUUGUGGAUUAUGAAAGUUUUAGUAAUUUCAUGAUCUUUUCAAAGAGUAUGGGUUUCUAAUUCUCAUUGCAUAUAAUUGGAGUUAGGUUGCUCUGAAGUUGUUGCACUGUUGUGUCUAAACUUUAGGCGUCGUUAUAAUCACCAAUAAAUCGAUCACGUUUUGAUAAUUGCAAAGCACAAAUUUGCGAAUUCUCUUUAAGCAAAACUUGUAGGUAUUUUCAGUACCUUUUUAAUGGGUAUUUACUUGUAACUGUCUGUUAAAUAGAUUUGGAGAGGUGGUUGCCCGGAUAUAAGUCGAAUCUCUAAUGUGCAGUAUUUCAGGCUGAGUUUAGCUGUAGGUCAUGCAGAGUUGUGGGCUAUAAGGAUAAAUUUGGGUGCAACUUUAUUGCAAAAGUCGUGGACAAUUUUCAAAACUUUUCCAACGCGUGUUCAUUGUAGUUUAAGUUGAGUAUAGCAGGAGUUAUAGGUUUUUGAAUUUUAGUUGUCCAUUGUUUCAAUCUUAUCAGUUUUGAAACAAAAGAGUUGCAUUGUUUUAUCGGUUUGGAAACCAAUUCCGAGACACUCAUUAUAAUAAAAGUUCUAGGGAAUGUUAUAAUCUUUUCAGUGAGUUUAUAUUUGCAAAAUUUUGUUAGCUGCAGGGAGUUAUGAUAUCAUGUAUAGAAUGUGCUUGGAUGAAUAUGUGGACAGACAUAACAUGCUUAAAUUGAUUCUUAUUUGCAUGAUGUGAGAUUAGGCUUAAAUGAUUUAAAAAGUUAUCAUAUUGCUUAUAUACUUAUAUUUGUUCUAGGUGUCUCGUAAUGAAGAACCUAAAGUUAUUAGUCUUUCAAUGAACGCUUAAUCUUAGAAGAGUAAUGAACCUGAUAAAAUCUAUUGCUUGCUAUUGGGACUGCAUGACCAGUUUUAGUUAUGCAGCUAGUUCAGUGAAGUAAACCAUCUUUUUUGUAGAGAUGUUAUAUAUAAAAGUUGUAGCCAACUUAUUUAUCUUACUUGUGUAAAAAUUUCAUGACCAUAGGUCUAGUAGUUUGGGAGUUAUGAUUUUCUCAAGUCCAGUCUUGAAAUCUGUGCAGAUUCUAUACAGAUUUCGAAGCUGACCUUGUUUGCCCAAUUUAAACUUCGAAUAACUUAUUAUAAAUUAUAAAUAAGUUGUAGUACUUUUCUUAGUCGUUACAACAAAUUUUGGAUUAAUUUUUUUUUGGAGAUCUAUAAGUUAAGUUACAGCUGUUUUAAGUGUGAUCUCUGAAUCUGUCCAAAUUUGGACAGCAGAGCCUUUCUCGCGUCUUUUGACCUUAAUAUGCAUUGAAUUAACUUGAUAUGUUUAUAAAUGAAUUAUAGACAAUUCUACUAGCUUUCUAAAAAGUCUGGGAGCACCUGAAUUGGAUGAUUGAGACUCCAAUUAUGGAUUUUUGAAUUGAGUAGUUGAAUUAUGUCCAAGUCUGGACAGAAUUUACGUUUAGCACUGUUUGACCUUUCUAAGUGUCAAAUCUUGUUGUGAUGAUAAUACCAAGGGUAUAGUGGACUUUAUAAGUUUUCCAUAAAGUCCUAGUUUACUAAUUUUCGAUGCAUAUUUUUGUGAGUUAGGAGCAAAACAAUUAACCGAUGUGCUGCUAUCUAGAAAUAUGCAAGCAUUAAGUUGCUCUCUUGAAGUUGCUCUUGUGUGGCUAAGUUUGGUUAAGCCUAUAGGAACAUUAUAUGCCUUGCAUUCAUAUAUACAUUCCUUGAAGUACUUGCAUAUCUCAAUGAUUGAUUUGGUGUCAGGAAAGCUUGGUCUGAGGUAUAUAGGACCGUCUGCUAUCUUGGCCGAGUUGGCAGCUGGGCUGAGCACAUGUAAUUGUCGGAAUCUGUGAUCAGAGUACACCAAGUAUUCCAUGUCUUUUUGUUGAGGAAGUAUUUGCGGAAUCCAGACCAUCAAAUCGAGCUAGAGCCAAUUCCUGUGUAGCAAGAGCAGACUCUAGAGUGUCGUCUGCUGCGUAUCUUAGAAUCCUAGGAGCUUGAGGAGCUGAUAUGGCAGAAGUACUCGAACUUUUCUUUAUGUGUGAGUUUUGUUGAUUCAUUAACCUUUCUUUUGUUGUUCCGAUAGAAGCGUCAGAAUUUGAGGUCGAAUUCUUUUUAAGAGGGGUAGAGUGUGAUACCCGGUUUGCAAAGAAGAGAAGUUGGGGGUUGUUCUUUUUGUUUUUUCCUCAUCCGGUUGUUUUUUUGGGGAUUUGGGAUUUUGUGGAAAACAUUCACAACUAGGGCAGUAGAAUUUAUUUGGUUUGACGCUUGCGUUGCGGUCAGGAGCUGUCGCGUGGGUUAGUUGGGCCGCAAUUGGAGUUUCGGCCCAUUAACCCUCCCAAACCCUAGCCGCCUCCCUCCUAACCCCCUCCCCCCAUGUGCAGCCACCCCCCACUUCUCUUCCCCCUUGGCCGCUGCCCCCCUGCCCAUCUCCUCCUCUCUCAAUUCUUGCAGCCACCAAACCCUAGCCACCCCCUCUCAAUCCCCUCCUCCCAAGGUGCCAAUUCUUGCCGCUCGGAUCAUCGUCGUCGUGGUGCGAGUCUUCAAUCGUUUUGGUGGAGGGAAGAAGGGAGGAAGGAAAGGGGGAGAAUCCAAGGUGAUUUUUGUGUUCAUCCCUUGUUCAUUUGCGCUGCAAUUUAAUUGAUUAGAGGUUGCGUUUGCGAUUGGGGUAGAGGGGGGCUGUCCAGAAUUUUAGGUGGUGGGUGAACAGCAGUAGUCUAGCAGUUUCUGUGUUUUUUCGUGAGGAAUUAAGGGAAAUCAGUUUGGGGAUCAUGUAGAACUUUACCUUACCUUUCCAACGAGUAUUUAUGCGCUCAAUUUGGAGUUAUAAAUUGAAAGUUAUCACCGUUUGAAUCCGGGUAUGUGGCUGUCCAAAAAAAACAGAUUUUUCAGGGGGAUGAACAGCAGCAGUAUUAGCAGUUUCUGGGGAUUUUUCGGGAGUAAUUAGUGUUAAUCAGUAUGAGAAUCAUGUAGGGCUUUAUGUUAUCUUUCCAACAAGUACUUAUCCGCUCGAUUCGGAGUUAUAAUUCAGGAGAUAUCGUUGUUUGAAUCCGGUUAUGUUGCUGUCCAAAAAAACAGAUUUUUCAGGUGGGUGAACAGCAGUGGUAUUAGCAGUUUCUGGGAAUUUUUCGUGGGUAAUUAGUGUUAACCAGUAUGGUAAUCAUGUAGGGAUUUGUCUUAUCUUUCCAAUGAGUACUUAUGCGCUUGAUUUGGAAUUAUAUUUUAAAAGAUAUCGCUGUUUGAAUCUGGGUAUGUCGCUGUCCAAAAGACAAAGAAAAACAGAUUACAGGGUUCAUCUUGUGGACUGUUUUGGGCUAAUUAGAUAUUGGAAUUUAAUUAUAAAUUGUAUACAAAACUUGUGGGGAAUUUUAUUUAGAUGCCUCUGGAGUUUUUGUUUGUUACCACUGCUGUCAUAAUUUUAAAGUUAUGAAAUUAUUAAGCAGCGCCGCUGCAGUUUGGUGGGUGUAGGGAGAGAUGUAACCCGCGGCAGGGUUUGAGUUUGUGCGUAGGUGCGGCGUCGCUUAUGAGCCUGAUUAUAUGAAAUUGGUGUACUAAGUUGGGUAUCAAAAACAGGUGGUGGACUUCCGGAUCGUACUUAGGGAUUUGCCCGAACUUCCGGUAAAGGCAAGUAAAUACAGUGGUGGUUGCUACCGUUUGGUUUGCAUCCUAUUCCCUGUCAUUGAGUAUGCAUAAGUUUUAAUUAUGUUAAUCAUUGAAUUCUAUGAUGAAGUUUAUUUGUUUGGAAGUAUUAAUUCUCAAUUGUCUAAUAUUGUGGAUGAUCAUAAUUUGAUAAUGAUAUAUGUGGUUGAUUCCCAUCUGGAUGAAGUUGAAGUGUCUUUUUGAAUCAUGUUAUAUGAAGUGUUGUAGGCAUGACAUGCACAUCGCAUCAUCCAUCUUGCAUUUUGAAGUUAUGUCAUGAUCUUAUGGUCCGACCGUACCGGUACAUUUUUUGCAUCGUACGUUGCCCGAGGAGGGGUACGAUGUGGCUUCAUAUCCUUAGAGGUAUGAAGGCAGAAGUCAUCCUUGCAUUUGCAGACAUUUGCACUCAUGAGGAAUAUAUGAAGUGUGAUAUUACUAUGUUACUAUUGUGGUUUCUACCUGCGAGGUGUGGUAACUAGGUGCGUUGUACGUUGUAUACGUGCUGCACCUUCGUAAUAAGAAGGUUGUGGAAUUAAGUGGUGGUAAAACAAUGUUCUUAUGUGGUUAAACUGUUUGAUAUUAUUUUACUUCCUGAGAUGUGUCAUCUCACUCUUGCAUUACUCAAUGCAAGUACUUGAUACAUGUUGGGAAUGAGGGGAGUAGCAGCACGUCCACUUUCACUCUCACAAUAACACUGCCCAGGCGCAGCCAUGAUUUAAUUAGAAACUUAUUGUCAAAGGAAGUUUGUUUAGUUUUUUUAUAUGGUCGUGCGCACUGGUUAAUUCAGUUCAGGUCGUAUGUUUAUCUUUCCUUGCUAGCCGAGUAAUAAUACUUAGUAUGUUUUAGUCAUGAUAUAUGUUUAUACUCUGUUGCUCCCUCUUUUAUGCAAUCUUGCAAAGGGGAUGCUGCCGAAAUUUUAUAUAUGGACGUCGGAAGUGUAGUACAGUAGCAUACCGGGUUGUUUGUGGAACCUGGAGUGUUACACCCUCGCUCUGCGUGCUCUGAGGUGGCUGUCGAACCCUUCCGGGGCCAGCCUACGAAUCCCUGAUCAGUAGUGGGCGCGGAGCCCGAGUGGCUUGAGGCGGCUGUCGAACCCCUCCGAGGGGCCAGCCUUCGAACCUCUGCCAGUAGUGGGCGCGGAGCCCGAGUGCUCUGAGGCGGCUGUCGAACCCUUCCGAGGGGCCAGCCUUCGAACCUCUGAUUAGUAGUAGGCGCGGAGCCUGAGUGCUCUGAGGCGACUGCCGAACCCUUCCGAGGGGCCAGCCUUCGAACCUCUGAUCAGUAGGAGGGCUUGGGGCCCGCUUCCUUCGCAGAGAAGGAUCCCUUUCGGAGUAUCCCCUUUCCCAGUCCCUGUAGCAAGAGAGAGAAAGGAGAAGAGAAAAAGGAUACGAAAUCGAACGACGUGGCGCACCUUUUUUGACGUGGUCAUUAUGGCGGAGGUGAAGCGUCGCCUGCUUUGCCAGCCAAAGGUGUCGCCUGUCCUGCCGCAGAGUUAAUGCGACAGGACGAGUGGUUUGUGGGGCAGUCGUUGUGCGUGCGCGAGCCGUUCGAGGAACGGAACACGGGCGCGUCGUCUUCACGCCGUGGGAGAGGGCUCUCUCGCUGUCCCAGCAGGGGCCAUGAGCCUGCAGACGACUUGACCGCUGCUUCCGCCCGCCUACCGCCGCCAUUACUGCCGGCCCACUUUUGGCCAUAUUGACCGUCGCGCCUUCUCCCGCGGCUGACUGACCCGUGAUCGAUGUGCUCGGUUGGCACUGUUGGGUCAUGCGCUGGGUCGCCUUGAGUCGCGGCACUGGUUCCGCAGUCGAGAAGGCGCGGUACUAGCGUAAGUGGCGGUGCAGCUUCUCGCACGUAGUAACCGGUGCGCCGGUUACAUGACGUGUGGGCCUGGGCUUGCAUGCUGGAUGCGUCGGAGUCGAAAGGGUGCGCCCCCUUGGUACGGUUGCAUGCCGCCUGCAUGGCGGUCCGCCUUUUCACCCGCUGGUCUGGGCGAAAGUGGAGGAGUGCUUGUAACCGCUGGGCAGUUGUGCGCUCCGCGCGCGGCGGUUUGGCUCCUUCUGUCCUGAGCCAGCUUGCAUGACGCGUGGGACCCAGCCCCCGUGUCGUAGGGGGAGGAUCUUGGAGCGUGUUUGUGAAGACUCAGUCCGUGACGGUUGAGGACGCAAGUGGGGAGAGUCGCCUUUAAAAGGGGGGUGACCCCCUUGGGUGGCAAUCAUGUCUUCGUACUCCCUUCAUGCAUCGCGUCCCUCCACCUUCCGAGCCCCCGGAUGGGGAGCGCCCGCAGUUCUUCUGUCUUGUCAUUGUUGGAGGAACGCAACUUCGCAGAAGUUGGUACCUUUCAGCCAUCGCUCGGCUUCAAGGAUUUUCAUCAGGAAGCCCGGCUGCAUCCCCUUGCCGGUGGUCACCCAAGACGGUGACCACCAGUUUGAUGGUGGGGAGAAGCAAGCCGGGCUGCGGCCUCUGCCCCUCCCUCAGCUUCAAGGAUGUUCAUCAUCAGUGUUGGGGAGGGGAGUGCGCCGAGUUGGGGCCCAUCUCUGCGCGGGCGGUGGCCCGCUCCUUCCCUCAGUGAUUGGGGGGAAGGGCGUUCGCCGUCCGUGGCGCUGGCAGCUGCCACGUGUCUGGCUCUCCGGCCUGAGCGGCUUCGGCGCUGUUUCCGAUGCCGCCUCCCACCGAGGCAGCCGGAAGAGGUUUCUCCGCCGACGAGAUAGUCGGAGCCGCCCACGGACUGGCCUCCAACUCUACGGCCUUCUGCUUGUCCUCGCCCCUCGAGUAGGGACGCAGGCGAGGGCCUUGUCGCAGCAGCGUCUGCCCUGAGGUCAUCGCUGCUGCUGUUCGGCCACCCGGAGCGGAGGUCGUUGUCGCUGCUGCCGGAGCAGGCGUCGGCGAACCACCUGGGGUUUCGUCGCCCCGCAGGCCCUCCAAUGUGGGGGGUUGUUCGUACCUGCGGGGGCGGAACCGGAGUUCCAUUUGUAAUGGCACCUUGAGUGCCGGUGUCUGUUCAUUGUGGCUGUCGGGGCCUGAACAUGUAUGUAUUUUUGGCGUGAAGCCGUGUUUUUUCCUCAUUUCGAGCACUAGGACUCGCCUGUCGGCUAGCUGAACCGCUUAACCAAGUGUGAGUUGCCUCGUGCGAAGGUGACGAGUGAGGUAUCCGUAUCCCGGAGGCAUAGGAGUCCCUCGGCUCGGUCGGCCUUGCCGCCCGAGGCUUCCCUUGCUUAGUUAAAGAAACCCUUGGCCGCUCUACGAUGAGCCGGAGCCGGAGGCAGCGGUGCCAGCAUGGACAGAGGCAGAGAUGGCUCGAAAAGAAGCUUCGUCGGCCGGAGCCUGGCCGGGCCAUCCACUGGCGGGACCGAUGCCGGAGUCGGGUUGCCGAGGCCACGAGCCGGGCUGAUGUCCUCGGGGGACAGCUGGCUGAGGCUACGGAGCGGUCGGUCGAGUCGUCUGCUCGGGCCGGGUUCCCAGAGGAGACCCCUGCGACGAUGGUCCAGGCGUGGUGCCGACAGGUUCCUUUGAGGUGGAGAUCCUCCGACCGUGUUGCCAUCCGAGGCCGGGUCGGAUUCCGCCGAAGGUGGAGUCGACGCCGAGGGUGCUACUGCUCCCCCACUGAUGUCUGACCCUGCAAGAACAGUUUAUCUUGUAGUGUGCGUAUGUUUUUACGGCCGCCAAGGCCCAAACAUAUCGUCGUUGUGUUGUAAAGCUGCGUUUCUUUUCCCCUUGUUUCGAGUAUCUGUACUUAUUUGUCGGUAACAGAAUUGUUUGUCCGAGCGAGAGUUACUUUUCGCGGAAGGUGAUGAGUGAGGUAUCCGUAUCCCGGAGGCGUAGGAGUCCCUCGGCUCGGUCGGCCUUGCCGCUUACGUGUGCUCUUACUCGUCCGUAGGAUUCUGUUAUCGAUAUAGUCGAGAAGGCACGAAAAAUUGUUUCGGUAGAAAAGUUUUCGAGCAUUAAGACUUGUUCGGUCAGCGGAAUCGCUUAUCCGAGCGUGAGUUACUUAUCGCAGAAGGUGAUGAGUGAGGUAUCCGUAUCCCGGAGGCGUAGGAGUCCCUCGGCUCGGUCGGCCUUGGCUGCUUACGUGUACUCCAUCGUUUUCAGGAUCCCACUUUCGAAGUAGUCAAAAAGCACGAAAGACGUUCUGGCAGAAAGACCUUUUCCGAGGAAAAUUUUGACGCAGAGGGGGUGCCCCCUUCUAGCCCCCGAGGGAGGGUCGGGCUUUGCCGAGGCAAGGCUGACCCUUCCUUGAUGGUUAGACUUUAUUGGUGUCGACGUUUCGAGACAGGGGGGUCCCUAAGCCGACGAGUGAGUGUGCUGCGUGCCCCAGCCCAGAUGGGUCGAGCGCGUGGGCGAGCGCGAAGGGGGGAGAGGCGAGGCGGCCGGAGCCGAGCGUGAGAGAGGUGGAAGUCCCGCGGCCUUCGUGUUCGUCCCGCGCCCAGGUCAGGUGCGCUUGCAGUAGGGGGGUUACAAGCGUCCACGCGGGUGAGGGAAGCGAGCGGCCCCAAGAGAGCGCCUGUCCCGUCCUUGGUCCCGCGCGGCCAACCUUCUCUGAGAAGGCCCUGGUCCUUCCUUUUAUAGUCGUAAGGAGAGGAUCCAGGUGUACAAUGGGGAUGUAGCAGAGUGCUACGUGUCUAGCGGAGGGAGAGCUAGCGCCCUAGGUACAUGCCAACGUGGCAGCCGGAGAGAUCUGGGCACCCUGUUGGCGUGAUGUCGUGGCUGUUGGAGGUGCGGCGGAGCCUGAUGGAGGGACAGCUGUUGGAGCGGUCGAGUCCCUGCUGAUGUUGUCCUGCUUCCGUAAGAGAGCUAGGGGCCGCCGUCGUCAUAGAGCUUGUGGAGUGCCAUCAUUGCCUCUCUGGCGGAGCUGGCCGGAUGAGACGCCGGUCUUGUUCUCCGUGACCCGAGUCGAUUCGGGGUGGGAUGAUGAUGGCGCCUCCUGUUGACGUGGCGGUCUGUGCCCUAGGCAGGGCGACGUGGGGUUUCCUCCGAAGCCGAGGUUGAGUCUGCCUUCUGUUGCCGUGGCCGAGCCCGAGCCGAGGGGUCGGGCGAGGCGGAAGUCGUUCGGCCGAGGCCAGGGCGGAGUCCGAGCCCUGGGGUCGGGCGAGGCGGAGUUUCAUCGUCUUCCGGGUCUUAGCCCGAGUCCGAGCCCUGGGGUCGGGCGGAGCGGAGUUCGCCGUCUUCCGGGUCUUAGCCCGAGUCCGAGCCCUGGGGUCGGGCGGAGCGGAGUUCGCCGUCUUCCGGGUCUUAGCCCGAGUCCGAGCCCUGGGGUCGGGCGGAGCGGAGUUCGCCGUGGCGCCUUCGGCGAGGCCUGACUGCCUGUCAGACUUACUCUGUCGAGUGGCGCUGCAGUCGGAGUGGCGCAGGCGGCGCUGUCCUUCUGUCAGACUGGCCAGUGGAGCGGUGGAGUGACGGCGGUCACCUCGGCUCUGCCGGGGGCGCGUGUCAGGAUAGAGGUGUCAGGCCUCCUGUGCGUUAAAUGCCCCUGCAAUUUGGUCAGUCGGUGUGGUGAUUUAGUCAAGGUUGCUUCUGAGCGAAGCCAAGGCCUUGGGCGAGCCGGUGAUAUGUCCGCCAUAAAAAGGGGGCCUCGGGCGAGACGGAAGUCUCUCGAGGUCGGCUGCCUUCGGCCGAGGCUAGGCUCGGGUGAAGCGUGAUCGAGUCACUCGUGUGGACUGAUCCCUGACUUAAUCGUGCCCAUCAGGCCUUUGCAGCUUUAUGCUGAUGGGGGUUACCAGCUGAGAAUUAGGCGUCUUGAGGGUACCCCUAAUUAUGGUCCCCGACAGUAGCCCCCGAGCCUCGAAGGGAGUGUUAGCACUCGCUUGGAGGCUUUUGUCGCACUUUUUUGCAAGGGGACCAGCCUUUCUCGGUUGCAUUUCGUUCCGGUGGGUGCGCGCGAGCGCACCCGCCGGGUGUAGCCCCCGAGGCCUCGGAGGAGUGGUUACACUCCUUCGAGGUCUUAAUACUUCGGCUGGUCUGGUCGUUCCCUCAUGCGAACUGGCCGUAGCCCGGGUGCACAGUCGGGGCCCAAGCUCUCGGGCUGGUAUGUUGACGCUGUCAACGAUUUGGCCGGAGCCGGUUUUUGCGAGAGCAGCCCCCGAGCCUCUGCACAGGGCGAGAGGACGAUCAGGGACAGACUCGGCUUUUUACAUACGCCCCUACGUUGCCUUUCCGCAAGGAGGAGGGGGGGAGUGCGCCAUGUUACCCUCGAUGGGCACCGAACAUGGUGUCUCCGGUGAGCUGCAAGCGGGUAAUCCGAGUGGACGUCCGUGCCCCGUUCGUUGGGGGUCGGCUAGGGGCCCAGAGGCACGCCCAAAAGUACCUGCGGGUGAUUUGCCGGACCCGGUCCCCUGGCGACGGGGUCCGAGGGCUCGAUGCCUCCCUCCGAUGGGAUUCCGUUACAAGAUCGUUCCCACUGGUCUCGGAAAUGUCCUAGGGUACCUCGGGAGCGCAGCCCGAGCCUUGGUUAUGUAUCGAACGUACCCCUGGUCAUCCCUCGCUCGGUGUCUGAGGCGACUGUGAACCCUUCGGGGGCCAGCCUUCGAACCCCUGAUCAGUAAUGGGCGCGGAGCCCGAGUAGCCUGAGGCGGCCAUGAAGCCCUUCGGGGGGCUGGCCUUCGAACCCCUGACCAGUAGUGGGUGUCGGGCCCACGUGAUCUGAGGCGACUGUUGAACCCUCGGGGGGCCAGCCUUCGAACCCCUGAUCAGUAAUGGGGGGCUCGGAGCCCGGUUCCUUCGCGGAGAAGGAUCCCUUUCGGGGUAUCCCCCUUUCCCGGUCCCUGUUGCAAGAGAUAGAGAAAGAGGAAAAUGGAAAAGGAUACGAAAUCGGACGACGUGGCGUACCUUUUCUGACGCGGUUAUUACGGCGAAGGUGAAGCGUCGCGCGCUCCUCCUGCCAGAAGCGCCGCGUGUCCCGCCGCGGAGUUAAUGCGACGGGGUGAGUGGUUGGCGGGGCGGCCGUUGCGCGCGUGCGAUCCGUUCGAGGAACGGGUCACGGGUGCACCGUCUUCACGCCGUGAGAGGAGGCUCCCUUGCUGUCUCAGGAUGGGACGUGAGCCUGGCUGACGACGUGACUGCUGUGCCCGCCCGCCUGCCACCGCUAUUACUGCCGGCCCACUUUCGGUCGCUUUGACCGACGCGCCAGUCUGGCGCUGUUGGGUCGCCUCGAGUCGUGGCAUAGGCUUCGCAACCGAAGAGGCGCGAUGGUGGCACAAGUGGCGGUGCGGUUGCUUGCAUGCAGCAACUGGCGCGCCGGUUGCUCGACGCGUGGGCCUAGGUUCCAGGCUGGCGUGUCAGGAGUCGGAGAAGCGCGUCCAUCUGGCGCGGUUGCAUGCCGCCUGCAUGGCUGCCCGCCCCUUCUGCCCGUUGGUCUGGGCGAAAAUGGGGGGUCGCCUGUAACCGCUGGACGGUCGUGCGCACCAUGCGCGGCGGUUUGGCUUCUUCUGCCCUGAGCCGGCUUGCAUGACAUGCGGGACCCAGCCCCCGAGUCGCAGGGGAGGGCCUUGGAGCGUGUUGGAGAAGACUCGGCCCGCGGCGCUUGGGGCGCACGUAGGGGGAGUUGCCUUUAAAAGGAGGGAGGCUCCCUUCGUAAGGCAACCAUGUCUUCUUCCUCCCUUAAGCGUCGGGUCUUCCCGUCUUCCAAGCCCCCGGAUGGGGGGUAUCCGCCGCCUUUCCGCCUCCUCGUUGGAGGAACGCAACUCCAUGGGAGUUGGUAUCUCUCAGCCAUCGUUCGGCUUCAAGGAUUUUCAUCAGCCGGCCCGGCCGUACCCCCAUGCCGACGAUCACCCAGGAUGGUGACUGUCGGUUUCUGGGUGGGGAAGAGCGAGCCAGGCUGCGAUCUUGGUCCCACCCUCAGCUUCAAGGAUGUUCAUCAUCCCCGCUGGGGCGGGAGCCACGCUGAGCCGGCGCUCUACCUUCCGCGUGGGUCCGCGGGUCGCCCUUUCCCGUGGCGUUUGGGGGUAGAGGCGUUCGCUGGCCCUGCGGACGGCGCGGACUUCGAUAACGUGGGGCUGAACGACGGCGAGCGUCGUCACCUCCAGCGUGUCGGAGUCGUCGGCCGGGCUUCCGGCGGCCCCUCCUGCCGGAGGGCGGCCGCCGCAUCGUGUGCACGGGAGGACCACCCAGGGUUCCGCGCGCCAUUAGGGCGGCGUUCGUGUUCUGGGGUGGUCCUGCUUUUGCACUGGGACGGCGCCCUUGCACAGAGGCCGGCGCCCCACUCAUCUGGGAGGAUUUGAGUGGGGAUCUGCCGGGGGGCUGGUGUCCCCUGCCAUCGGCGCUGAUGCGGAGGCGGCUUGAGAAGUCCUCGUCACCGACGGGAUCACUUCCAUCACCGGCGCCUCGGGCUACCGCGCCGGUGUGCUUGUCCUCGCCCCUCGAGCGUCGGCGAGGGCGAGGGCAAGAUCGCAGCAGCGCCGACCCACUGUUGCCGUAGUCAGGACGGGCGGCGGUGAGCCGGCCAUCGGCCUUCUGUGGUUCCGCAGGCCUUCCCCAUGGAGUGGGGUCGUUCGUACCUGCGGAGGGGGAACCGGAGUUCCGUUGGUAGUGGCAUCUCGUAUGCCAGUGGUCCUCGUUCAUUGUGGCUGUCGAGGCCUGAACGUGUAUGUAACUUCGGCACUGAGCCGUGUUUUUUCCUCAUUUUCGAGCACUAAGUCUCGCCUGUUUGAUUAUCUGAACCGCUUUACCAAGCAUGAGUUGCCCCGUGUCAAGGUGACGGGUGAGGUAUCCGUAUCCCGGAGGCGUAGGAAUCCCUCGGCCCGUUCGGCCUUGUUGUCUGGGGUUCCUCUAGCUUAGUUGAAGAGACCCCUCGGCCGCCCUUCGGUGGACCGAGGCCGGGGGUUGCGAUAUCAGUAUGAACAGAGGCGGAGUUGGCUCGAGAAUGGGGAACCUGGUUGGCCGGAGCCUAGCCGUGUCGUCCGUCAGUGGGGCCGACGCCAAAGUCGGUCAGUCGAGGCCUCGGAUCGGGCUGGCGCCCUUGGAAGCCGGUUGACCGAGGCCCCAGGGGUAACCGGUUGAGCCGCCUGCUCGGGCCGGAUUCCCGGAGGAGCCCCUGGACCGCGGCGCCGCCCGAGGCCGGGUCGGGCUUUGCUGAAGACGUCGUCGAUGCCGAGGGUGCUACAGCUCCCUUCGGCGUGAAGACCCGAGCCUGCAGGAUCCGAUCAUCUUGUAGCGUGUGCUUCCUGCGGCCGCCGAGGCCAGAAGAAAACACCCUCGCUGCACUUGCGAAGCUGCGCCUUUUUUCCUCCUGUUUCGAGCAUCUGGACUCUGUCGGUAACAGGGAUGUUUGUGUGAGCGAGAGUCGCUUUUCGCGGAAGGGACGAGUGAGGUAUCCGUAUCCUAGAGGCGUGGGAAUCCCUCGGCUCGGUCGGCCUUGCCGCUUACGCGUACUUUCACCCGUCCAUGAGGCCCUGUCCCCGACUUAGUCGAGAAAGCUUGAAGGACUGCUUCGGCAGGAGAGCUUCCGAACGUGAUGACUCGUUCGGUCCACGGAGUCGCUUUAUCCGAGCGCAAGUUACUUAUCGCAGAAGGGGACGAGUGAGGUAUCCGUAUCCCGGAGGCGUAGGAGUCCCUCGGCUCGGUCAGCCUUGGCUGCUUACGUGUACUUCGUCGUUUCCAGGAUCCGCUUUCCGAAGUAGUCAAGAAGCACGAAAGAAAUCCUGCUAAAAAGAGAUCCUUUUUCGAGGAAAAAUUCGACGCAGAGGGGGUCUCCCCCCUUUUAGCCCCCGAGGGAGGGUCGGGUUUUGCCGAGGCUAGGCCGACCCUUCCUUGACAACUAAACUUUGCGUAGGUGCGAGGUAUAUGAACAACUUGAAAACAUCUUAAGGGUAGAAGCGACGUAGCUGUUUGAUGUUCCAAGCGUUGCCGUAGAUCUCGCCUUGAUUGCUGGCCAGCUUGUAUGUUCCGGGCUUCAGAACUUUGGCGAUGACGAAUGGCCCUUCCCAGGGGGGCGUGAGCUUGUGCCUCCCUCGGGCGUCUUGUCGCAGCCGAAGCACCAGGUCGCCCACCUGGAGUUCUCGGGACCGGACCCCUCGGGCGUGGUAGCGUCGCAGGGACUGUUGGUACCGCGCCGAGUGUAGUAAGGCCCUGUCCCGAGCUUCCUCCAACUGGUCCAGCGAUUCCUCUCGGCUGGCUUGGUUGCUUUGUUCGGUGUAGGCCCUCGCCCUUGGGGAGCCGUAUUCCAGGUCAGUGGGCAAGAUAGCUUCAGCCCCGUAGACCAGGAAAAACGGCGUGAAGCCCGUGGCACGACUCGGCGUCGUCCUUAGGCUCCAGACCACCGAGGGGAGUUCCUUCAUCCAUCGCCUGCCGAACUUGUUGAGGUCGUUGUAGAUCCGAGGCUUGAGCCCUUGUAGAAUCAUGCCGUUGGCACGCUCUACCUGCCCAUUCGACAUGGGAUGAGCCACGGCGGCCCAGUCCACCCGGAUAUGGUGAUCUUCGCAAAAAUCCAAGAAUUUUUUGCCGGUGAACUGGGUGCCGUUGUCGGUGAUGAUGGAGUUCGGGACCCCGAAGCGAUGGAUGAUGUUGGUGAAGAAUGCCACCGCCUGCUCGGACCUGAUGCUGUUCAGGGGUCGGACCUCGAUCCACUUGGAGAAUUUGUCGAUGGCGACCAGCAGGUGCGUGUAGCCCCCGGGCGCCUUCUGCAAGGGACCGACGAGGUCCAGACCCCAUACAGCGAAGGGCCAGGUGAUAGGUAUUGUCUGCAGAGUCUGAGCGGGCAGGUGUGUCCGCUUCGCAUAGAAUUGGCACCCUUCGCAGGUGCGGACAAUUCUAGUGGCGUCAGCCACCGCCGUUGGCCAGUAGAAGCCUUGCCGGAAGGCAUUUCCAACAAGGGCUCGGGGUGCUGCGUGGUGGCCGCAAGCCCCCGAGUGUACUUCUUGCAGCAGUUCCCGACCUUCGGCGAUGGAGAUGCAUCGCUGGAGGAUGCCCGAGGGGCUGCGAUGGUAGAGCUCCUCUUCGUCGCCCAGCAAGACGAAUGACUUGGCGCGUCGCGCUACCCGCCGAGCCUCGACUUGGUCGAGGGGUAGCUCUCCUCGACGGAGAUAUUGCAGGUACGGGGCCUGCCAAUCUUGGUCUGGCGUGGCCCCGCUCUGCCUUUCCUCGACGUUCAACGCCCCGCCCUCGGGGGCCGAGGGUACCUCGGGCUGAACCGAGGGUACCUCGGGCUGAGCCGAGGAUACCUCGGGCUGAGCCGAGGGUACCUCGGGCUGAGCCGAGGGUACCUCAGGCUCGGGCGCAUCGUCGAGCUUGACGGAGGGUUGAUGCAGAUCCCGGGAGAAGACGUCCGGGGGGACUGUCGUUCGCCCCGAGGCUAUCUUGGCCAGCUCGUCUGCGGUUUCGUUGUAGCGCCGAGCGAUGUGGUUGAGCUCGAGCCCGAAGAACUUGUCUUCCAGGCGCCGAACCUCGUCGCAGUAGGCCUCCAUCUUCGGGUCGCGGCAGUGGGAGUUCUUCAUGACUUGGUCGAUGACGAGCUGCGAAUCACCGCGGGCGUCGAGGCGUCUGACCCCUAGCUCGAUGGCGAUCCGCAAUCCGUUGACCAGAGCUUCGUACUCGGCCACAUUGUUGGACGCCGGGAAGUGGAGGUGCAGCACGUAGCGCAAGUGCUUUCCGAGGGGCGAGAUGAAGAGAAGGCCCGCACCGGCCCCCGUCUUCAUCAGCGACCCGUCGAAAAACAUGGUCCAGAGCUCCGGUUGGAUCGGAGUCGUUGGUAGUUGGGUGUCGACCCAUUCAGCCACGAAAUCCGCCAACACUUGGGACUUGAUGGCCUUCCGAGGGGCGAACGAGAUCGUUUCGCCCAUGAUCUCCACUGCCCACUUUGCGAUCCUGCCCGAGGCCUCUCGGCACUGGAUGAUCUCCCCCAGGGGGAAGGAUGACACCACAGUUACCGGAUGGGACUCGAAGUAGUGUCGUAGCUUCCGCCUCGUCAGGAUCACAGCAUACAGCAGCUUUUGAACUUGUGGGUAGCGGAUCUUAGUCUCGGACAGCACUUCGCUGAUGAAGUAGACCGGCCUCUGAACGGGCAAUGUAUGCCCUUCCUCCUGCCUUUCGACCACAAUCGCGGCGCUAACCACCUGAGUGGUCGCGGCGACGUAGACCAAGAGGGUUUCUCCGUCCGCCGGCGGCACCAAGACUGGCGCCUUUGUAAGGAGCGCCUUCAGGUUGCCGAGGGCUUCCUCGGCCUCAGGGGUCCAAACGAAACAUUCGGCCUUCCUUAAGAGGCGGUACAGAGGCAGACCUCUUUCGCCGAGGCGUGAGAUGAAACGGCUCAGGGCCGCGAGGCAUCCCAUGACCCUCUGUACCCCUUUUAAGUCCAUGAUGGGUCCCAUGCUGGUGAUGGCCGCAAUCUUCUCCGGGUUGGCCUCGAUGCCUCGCUCAGAGACGAUGAACCCUAGGAGCAUGCCUCGGGGCACCCCGAAGACACACUUCUCAGGAUUAAGCUUGACCCCUUUCGCCUUGAGGCACCGGAAUGUCACUUCAAGGUCGGAGAGGAGGUUGGGAGCCUUCCGUGUCUUGACCACGAUGUCAUCGACGUAGGCCUCGACUGUGCGACCGAUGUGUUCGCCGAACACAUGGUUCAUGCACCGCUGGUACGUCGCGCCUGCAUUCCUCAGGCCGAACGGCAUGGUGACGUAGCAGUACAUGCCGAACGGCGUGAUGAAAGAAGUCGCGAGCUGGUCGGACUCUUUCAUCCGGAUCUGGUGAUACCCCGAGUAGGCAUCGAGGAAGGACAGGGUUUCGCACCCAGCAGUGGAAUCCACGAUUUGGUCAAUGCGAGGCAGAGGGUAGGGAACCUUCGGACAUGCUUUGUUGAGACCAGUGUAGUCUACACACAUCCGCCAUUUCCCCCCUUUCUUCCUUACGAGCACAGGGUUGGCAAGCCAUUCGGGGUGGAAUACCUCUUUGAUGAACCCUGCCGCCAUUAGCUUGUGGAUCUCUUCGCCAAUCGCUCUGCGCUUCUCCUCGUCGAAUCGGCGCAGAGGCUGCCUGACGGGUCGGGCUCCGGCCCGAAUAUCCAGCGAGUGCUCGGCGACAUCCCUCGGUAUGCCGGGCAUGUCCGAGGGACUCCACGCAAAGACGUCGGCGUUUGCGCGGAGAAAGUCGACGAGCAUUGCUUCCUAUUUGGGGUCGAGCCCGGAACCGAUCCGGAUCUGCUUGGUGGUGUCGCCGCUGGGGUCGAGGGGGACGGCCUUGACCGUCUCCGCUGGCUCGAAGUUGCCGGCAUGGCGCUUCACGUCUGGGACCUCCUUGGAGAGGUUCUCCAGGUCGGCGAUGAGGGCCUCGGACUCGGCGAGGGCCUCGGCGUACUCCACGCACUCCACGUCGCAUUCGAACGCGUGUUUGUACGUGGGGCCGACGGUGAUGACCCCGUUGGGGCCCGGCAUCUUGAGCUUCAGGUAGGUGUAGUUGGGGACGGCCAUGAACUUCGCGUAGCAUGGCCUCCCUAACACGGCGUGGUAGGUUCCUCGGAACCCGACCACUUCGAACGUCAGGGUCUCCCUUCGGAAGUUGGAGGGUGUCCCGAAGCAGACUGGGAGAUCGAGUCGCCCGAGGGGCUGGACGCGCUUCCCAGGGAUGAUCCCGUGGAAGGGCGCAGCGCCUGCUCGGACGGAGGACGGAUCGACGCGCAGAAGCUUGAGGGUCUCGGCGUAGAUGAUGUUGAGGCAGCUGCCCCCGUCCAUCAGGACCUUGGUGAGCCUGACAUCGCUGACAACGGGGUCGACGACGAGCGGGUAUUUCCCCGGGCUCGGCACAUGGUCGGGGUGGUCGGCCCGGUCGAAAGUGAUGGGCUUGUCGGACCAGUCUAGGUAGACUGGCGCCGCCACCUUCACCGAGCAGACCUCCCGGCGCUCUUGCUUGCGGUGCCGAGCCGAGGUAUUCGCCGCAUGCCCUCCAUAGAUCAUGAAGCAGUCGCGGACCUCGGGGAACCCCCCUGCUGGGUGUUCUUCGUUCUUGUCGUCGUCGUGGGCCCUGCCUCCUUCGGCGGGUGGCCCGGCCCUGUGGAAAUGACGCCGAAGCAUAACGCACUCCUCGAGGGUGUGCUUGACGGGCCCCUGAUGGUAGGGGCACGGCUCCUUGAGCAUCUUGUCGAAGAGGUUUGCACCUCCGGGGGGCUUCCGAGGGUUCUUAUACUCGGCGGCGGCGACAAGGUCCGCGUCUGCGGCGUCGCGUUUCGAUUGCGACUUCUUCUUGCCUUUCUUCUUGGCGCCGCGCGGAGCAGACGCCUCGGGAGCUUCUUCCGACGGGCGGCCCUGGGCUGCUUGUCCUUUCGGAAGAUAGCCUCGACCGCCUCCUGGCCGGAGGCGAACUUGGUGGCGAUGUCUAUCAGCUCGCUCGCCCUGGUGGGGGUUUUGCGACCCAGCUUGCUCACCAGGUCGCGGCAAGUGGUGCCGGCGAGGAACGCGCCGAUGACAUCCGAGUCGGUGAUGUUGGGCAGCUCGGUGCGCUGCUUCGAGAAUCGCCGGAUGUAGUCCCGGAGCGACUCCCCCGGCUGUUGCCGGCAGCUUCGAAGGUCCCAGGAGUUCCCGGGCCGCACGUAUGUGCCCUGGAAAUUGCCAGCGAAGGCUUGGACCAAGUCGUCCCAGUUGGAAAUCUGCCCCGGAGGCAGGUGCUCCAACCAGGCGCGAGCAGUGUCGGAGAGGAACAGGGGGAGGUUGCGGAUGAUGAGGUUGUCGUCGUCCGUUCCGCCCAGUUGGCAGGCAAGGCGGUAGUCCGCGAGCCACAGUUCCGGUCUCGUUUCCCCCGAGUACUUUGUGAUAGUAGUCGGGGGUCGGAACCGGGUUGGGAAUGGCGCCCGUCGGAUGGCCCGACUGAAGGCCUGCGGACCGGGUGGUUCGGGCGAAGGACUCCGAUCCUCCCCGCUGUCGUAGUGCCCCCCACGCCUGGGGUGGUAGCCUCGGCGCACCCUUUCGUCGAGGUGAGCCCGACGGUCGCGUCGAUGGUGCUCGUUGCCGAGGUGGCCCGGGGCCGCAGGCGCGGUGUUGCACGUGCACCCGGUGUAGACCGAGGCCUCCCGCAUGAAUCGGGAAGUCGCGGCAUGAGGUUCCGAGGGAUAUCCUUGCCUCCGGGAUGCAGUGCUCUCGGCCCGCCGGGCCGCAGCGCCUUCCAGGAGAUUCUUGAGUUCUCCCUGGAUUUGCCGCCCCUCGGUGGUUGACGGCUCCGGCAUCGCGCGGAUGAGCAUCGCUGCGGUCGCCAGGUUCUGACCGACCCCGCUGGAUGCGGGCGGCGGCCUGAUCCUGACGUCGUUGGCGACGCGGUGCUGGAGACCUUGGGGCAGAUGACGUAUUUCUCCGGCCAGGGGUUGGUCCACCCAUGCCUGUCCGACGUCCCGACGGAUCGGCUCAAGCGCCCCUGUUCCCUCGUUGAGCCUGGCCUACGCCUCGCGGACUUGCUCGAGUUGUGGGUCGUAACCCCCCGCCGGAGCGGGGACCACAGCUAGCUCCCGUGGGAUGUCGGCGCGAGGCACCGGCCUAGGGAGAUCACCAUCCUCCGGCAUGCCAAGAUGGUUGCCUUCGGUGGGAUCCCUAGCUCGAUGUGGAAACAUUCGCGGCUUGGGCCGCAGCUCUCGUCACCGAGGCUGCGGCUUCCGUCGGAACAGUCGGAUAGACAGUAGUCACAUGCGGUCAUGAAGUCCCGCACGGCACUGGGGUUGCCAUGUCCGGAGAAUCCCAACCGAUGCUGGGAUCGUCAUCUUCCUCGGACCCGGAGGGCCUGUAGGUCGAGACGUCCGUCAGUCGGUCCCAAGGUGACCGCAUACAGAACCUCAGUGGGGUUGCACUCGCCUCAAUGAGAGCGCCCGCCAAAACGAGGUCGUUUGGCGGGUUGAGGCCGAGUCGAAAUGACGCAAGAUGGGAGUUAGUCGUUACCUUUUGGUCGACGAGGAGCGACGUAGUCACAUCGGGGACUGGUUGCGCCGUCAUCUCUGGUUCGAGGGCGACGUCCUGCAGGCUUUCCGCGAGCGCGCCGGCGUCGUCUUCUUGCUCGGGGUCAGCGUGCCGCGGGGGACGGCGCUUGCCUCCGUCUCGAACGCGAGGUCGACGUCCGGCGUGCCUUCCGUCGGGGCGUCGGGGGCGUCGAUUCGCUCGACGGCCGGCGAAGCGUGGCCUCCCGUCUGGCCUUGACGGCCCCGCCUCCUCCUCCGUUGGCGGGGAGAGAACGGAGCGAGCCCGAAUGUUGCUCUUCCACCACGCGGGGUAGACGUCGUCGAUUCCGCCGCCGGCGGGCGGGUUGUCGGCCGCCAUUGUCGUAGUCGCGCGCCGGUGGAAGAAGUGUCAUGUCGUAGCUGCCGUCGAAGGACAUGAACUCAAGAGUCCCGAAACGAAGCACCGUCCCGGGCCGGAGAGGUUGCUGGAGACUGCCCAUCUGGAGCUUGACGGGGAGCUGUUCGUCAGCACGCAGCAGGCCCUACCUGGCGCGCCAACUGUCGGCGUUUCGAGACAGGGGGGUCCCUAAGCCGACGAGUGAGUGUGCUGCGUGCCCCAGCCCAGAUGGGUCGAGCGCGUGGGCGAGCGCGAAGGGGGGAGAGGCGAGGCGGCCGGAGCCGAGCGUGAGAGAGGUGGAAGUCCCGCGGCCUUCGUGUUCGUCCCGCGCCCAGGUCAGGUGCGCUUGCAGUAGGGGGUUACAAGCGUCCACGCGGGUGAGGGAAGCGAGCGGCCCCAAGAGAGCGCCUGUCCCGUCCUUGGUCCCGCGCGGCCAACCUUCUCUGAGAAGGCCCUGGUCCUUCCUUUAUAGUCGUAAGGAGAGGAUCAGGUGUACAAUGGGGAUGUAGCAGAGUGCUACGUGUCUAGCGGAGGAGAGCUAGCGCCCUAGGUACAUGCCAACGUGGCAAGCCGGAGAGAUCUGGGCACCCUGUUGCGUUGAUGUCGUGGCUGUUGGAGGUGCGGCGGAGCCUGAUGAGGGACAGCUGUUGGAGCGGUCGAGUCCCUGCUGACGUUGUCCUGCUUCCGUAAGAGAGCUGGGGCCGCCGUCGUCAUAGAGCUUGUGGAGCGCCAUCAUUGCCCUCUCUGGCGGAGCUGGCCGGAUGAGACGCCGGUCUUGUUCUCCGUGACCCGAGUCGAUUCGGGUGGGGAUGAUGAUGGGCCUCCUGUUGACGUGGCGGUCUGUGCCCUAGGCAGGGCGACGUGGGGUUCCUCCGAAGCCGAGGUUGAGUCUGCCUUCUGUUGCCGUGGCCGAGCCCGAGCCAGGGUCGGGCGAGGCGGAAGCGUUCGGCCGAGGCCGGGCGGAGUCCGAGCCCUGGGGUCGGGCGAGGCGGAGUUUCGUCGUCUUCCGGUCUUAGCCCGAGCCGAGCCCUGGGGUCGGGCGGAGCGGAGUUCGCCGUCUUCCGGGUCUUAGCCCGAGUCCGAGCCCUGGGUCGGGCGGAGCGGAGUUCGCCGUCUUCCGGGUCUUAGCCCGAGUCCGAGCCCUGGGUCGGGCGGAGCGGAGUUCGCCGUCUUCCGGGUCUUAGCCCGAGUCCGAGCCCUGGGUCGGGCGGAGCGGAGUUCGCCGUGGCGCCUUUGGCAAGGCCUGACUGCCUGUCAGACUCACUCUGUCGAGUGGCCUGCAGUCGGAGUGGCGCAGGCGGCGCUGUCCUUCUGUCAGACUGGCCAGUGGAGCGGUGGAGUGACGGCGGUCACCUCGGCUCUGCCGGGGGCGCGUGUCAGGAUAGAGGUGUCAGGCCACCUUUGCGUUAAAUGCCCCUGCAAUUUGGUCAGUCGGUGUGGUGAUUUAGUCAAGGUUGCUUCUGAGCGAAGCCAAGGCCUUGGGCGAGCCGGUGAUAUGUCCGCCAUAAAAAGGGGGCCUCGGGCGGACGGAAGUCUCUCGAGGUCGGCUGCCUUCGGCCGAGGCUAGGCUCGGGUGAAGUGUGAUCUAGUCACUCGUGUGGACUGAUCCUGACUUAAUCGUGCCAUCAGGCCUUUGCAGCUUUAUGCUGAUGGGGGUUACCAGCUGAGAAUUAGGCUCUUGAGGGUACCCCUAAUUAUGGUCCCCGACAANNNNNNNNNNNNNNNNNNNNNNNNNNNNNNNNNNNNNNNNNNNNNNNNNNNNNNNNNNNNNNNNNNNNNNNNNNNNNNNNNNNNNNNNNNNNNNNNNNNNGGGGGUCCCUAAAGCCGACGAGUUGAGUGUGCUGCGUGCCCAGCCAGAUGGGUCGAGCGGCGUGGCGAGCGCGAAGGGGGAGAGGCGAGGUGGCCGGAGCCGAGCGUGAGAGAGGUGGAAGUCCCGCGGCCUUCGUGUUCGUCCGCGCCAGGUCAGGUGCGCUUGCAGUAGGGGGGUUACAAGCGUCCACGCGGGUGAGGGAAGCGAGCGGCCCCAAGAGAGCGCCUGUCCCGUCCUGUCCCGCGGCCAACCUUCUCGAGAAGGCCCUGGUCCUCCUUUUUAGUCGUAAGGAGAGGAUCCAGGUGUACAAUGGGGAUGUAGCAGAGUGCUACGUGUCUAGCGGAGGGAGAGCUAGCGCCCUAGGUACAUGCCAAGUGGCAGCCGGAGAGAUCUGGGCACCCUGCUGGCGUGAUGUCGUGGCUGUCGGAGGUGCGGCGGAGCCUGAUGGAGGGACAGCUGUUGGAGCGGUCGAGUCCCUGUGGUUGUCCUGCUUCCGUAAGAGAGCUGGGGCCGCCGUCGUCAUAGAGCUUGUGGAAGCGCCAUCAUUGCCUCUCUGGCGGAGCUGGCCGGAUGAGACGCCGGUCUUGUUCUCCGUGACCCGAGUCGAUUCGGGGUGGGAUGAUGAUGGCGCCUCCUGUUGACGUGGCGGUCUGUGCCCUAGGCAGGCGACGUGGGUUUCCUCCGAAGCCGAGGUUGAGUCUGCCUUCUGUUGCCGUGGCCGAGCCCGAGCCAGGGUCGGGCGAGGCGGAAGUCGUUCGGCCGAGGCCAGGGCGGAGUCCGAGCCCUGGGGUCGGGCGAGGCGGAGUUUCGUCGUCUUCCGGGUCUUAGCCCGAUCCGAGCCCUGGGGUCGGGCGGAGCGGAGUUCGCCGUCUUCCGGGUCUUAGCCCGAGUCCGAGCCCUGGGGUCGGGCGGAGCGGAGUUCGCCGUCUUCCGGGUCUUAGCCCGAGUCCGAGCCCUGGGGUCGGGCGGAGCGGAGUUCGCCGUGGCGCCUUCGGCGAGGGCCUGACUGCCUGUCAACUCACUCUGUCGAGUGGCACUGCAGUCGGAGUGGCGCAGGCGGCGCUGUCCUUACUGUCAGACUGGCCAGUGGAGCGGUGGAGUGACGGCGGUCACCUCGGCUCUGCCGGGGGGCCGUGUCAGGAUAGAGGUGUCAGGCCUCCUUGCGUUAAAUGCCCCUGCAAUUUGGUCAGUCGGUGUGGUGAUUUAGUCAAGGUUGCUUCCUGAGCGAAGCCAAGGCCUUGGGCGAGCCGGUGAUAUGUCCGCCAUAAAAAAGGGGGCCUCGGGCGAGACGGAAGUCUCUCGAGGUCGGCUGCCUUCGGCCGAGGCUAGGCUCGGGUGAAGCGUGAUCGAGUCACUCGUGUGGACUGAUCCCUGACUUAAUCGUGCCCAUCAGGCCUUUUGCAGCUUUAUGCUGAUGGGGUUACCAGCUGAGAAUUAGGCGUCUUGAGGGUACCCCUAAUUAUGGUCCCCGACAGUAGCCCCGAGCCUCGAGGGAGUGUUAGCACUCGCUUGGAGGCUUUUGUCGCACUUUUUUGCAAGGGACCAGCCUUUCUCGGUUGCAUUUCGUUCCGGUGGGUGCGCGCGAGCGCACCCGCCGGGUGUAGCCCCCGAGGCCUCGGAGGAGUGGUUACACUCCUUCGAGGUCUUAAUACUUCGGGCUGGUCUGGUCGUUCCCUCAUGCGAACUGGCCGUAGCCCCGGGUGCACAGUCGGGGCCCAAGCUCUCGGGCUGGUAUGUUGACGCUGUCAACGAUUUGGCCGGAGCCGGUUUUUGCGAGAGCAGCCCCCGAGCCUCUGCACAGGCGAGAGGACGAUCAGGGACAGACUCGGCUUUUUACAUACGCCCCUACGUUGCCUUUCGCAAGGAGGAGGGGGGGAGUGCGCCAUGUUACCCUCGAUGGCACGAACAUGGUGUCUCCGGUGAGCUGCAAGCGGGUAAUCCGAGUGGACGUCCGUGCCCGUUCGUUGGGGGUCGGCUAGGGCCCAGAGGCACGCCCAAAAGUACCUGCGGGUGAUUUGCCGGACCCGGUCCCCUGGCGACGGGGUCCGAGGGCUCGAUGCUCCCUCCGAUGGAUUCCGUUACAAGAUCGUUCCCACUGGUCUCGGAAAUGUCCUAGGGUACCUGGGAGCGCAGCCCGAGCCUUGGUUAUGUAUCGAACGUACCCCUGGUCAUCCUCGCUCGGUGUCUGAGGCGACUGUGAACCCUUCGGGGCCAGCCUUCGAACCCCUGAUCAGUAAUGGGCGCGGAGCCCGAGUAGCCUGAGGCGGCCAUGGAGCCCUUCGGGGGCUGGCCUUCGAACCCCUGACAGUAGUGGGUGUCGGGCCCACGUGAUCUGAGGCGACUGUUGAACCCUCGGGGGCCAGCCUUCGAACCCCUGAUCAGUAAUGGGGGGCUCGGAGCCCGGUUCUUCGCGGAGAAGGAUCCCUUUCGGGGUAUCCCCCUUCCCGGUCCCUGUUGCAAGAGAUAGAGAAAGAGGAAAAUGGAAAAGGAUACGAAAUCGGACGACGUGGCGUACCUUUCUGACGCGGUUAUUACGGCGAAGGUGAAGCGUCGCGCGCUCCUCUGCCAGAGCGCCGCGUUCCCGCCGCGGAGUUAAUGCGACGGGUGAGUGGUUGGCGGGCGGCCGUUGCGCGCGUGCGAUCCGUUCGAGAACGGGUCACGGGUGCACCGUCUUCACGCCGUGAGAGGAGGCUCCUUGCUGUCUCAGGAUGGGACGUGAGCCUGGCUGACGACGUGACUGCUGUGCCCGCCGCCUGCCACCGCUAUUACUGCCGGCCCACUUUCCGGUCGCUUGACCGACGCCCAGUCUGCGCUGUGGGUCGCUCGAUCGUGGCAUAGGCUUCGCAACCGAAGAGCGCGAUGGUGGCACAAGUGGCGGUGCGGUUGCUUGCAUGCAGAACUGGCGCGCCGGUGCUCGACGCGUGGCUAGGUUCCAGGCUGGCGUUCAGGAGUCGGAGAAGCGGUCAUCUGGCGCGGUUGCAUGCCGCCUGCAUGGCUGCCCGCCCCUUCUGCCCGUUGGUCUGGGCGAAAAUGGGGGGUCGCCUGUAACCGCUGGACGGUCGUGCGCACCAUGCGCGGCGGUUUGGCUUCUUCUGCCCUGAGCCGGCUUGCAUGACAUGCGGGACCCAGCCCCCGAGUCGCAGGGGAGGGCCUUGGAGCGUGUUGGAGAAGACUCGGCCCGCGGCGCUGGGGCGCACGUAGGGGAGUUGCCUUUAAAAGGAGGGAGGCUCCUUUCGUAAGGCAACCAUGUCUUCUUCCUCCCUUAAGCGUCGGUCUUCCCGUCUUCCAAGCCCCCGGAUGGGGGUAUCCGCCGCCUUUCCGCCUCCUCGUUGGAGGAACGCAACUCCAUGGGAGUUGGUACUCUCAGCCAUCGUUCGGCUUCAAGGAUUUUCAUCAGCCGGCCCGGCCGUACCCCAUGCCGACGAUCACCCAGGAUGGUGACCGCCGGUUUCUGGGUGGGAAGAGCAAGCCAGGCUGCGAUCUUGGUCCCACCCUCAGCUUCAAGGAUGUUCAUCAUCCCGCUGGGGCGGGAGCCACGCUGAGCCGGCGCUCUACCUUCCCGCGGGGUCCGCGGGUCGCCCUUUCCCGGCGUUUGGGGGUGAGGCGUCGCUGGCCCUGCGGACGGCGCGGACUUCUAACGUGGGGCUGAACGACGGCGGCGUCGUCACCUCCAGCGUGUCGGAGUCGUCGGCCGGGCUUCCGGCGGCCCCUCCUGCCGGAGGGGGCCGCCGCAUCGUGUGCACGGGAGGACCACCCAGGUUCCGCGCGCCUUAGGGCGGCGUUCGUGUUCUGGGGUGGUCCUGCUUUUGCACUGGGACGGCGCCCUUGCACAGAGGCCGGCGCCCCACUCAUCUGGGAGGAUUUGAGUGGGGAUCUGCCGGGGGGCUGGUGUCCCCUGCCAUCGGCGCUGAUGCGGAGCGGCUUGAGAAGUCCUCGUCACCGACGGGAUCACUGCCAUCACCGGCGCCUCGGGCCUACCGCGCCGGUGUGCUUGUCCUCGCCCUCUCGAGCGUCGGCGGGGCGAGGGCAAGAUCGCAGCAGCGCCGACCCACUGUUGCCGUAGUCAGGACGGGCGGCGGUGAGCCGGCCAUCGGCUUCUGUGGUCCGCAGGCCUUCCCCAUGGAGUGGGGUCGUUCGUACCUGCGGAGGGGGAACCGGAGUUCCGUUGUAGUGGCAUCUCGUAUGCCAGUGGUUCGUUCAUUGUGGCUGUCGAGGCCUGAACGUGUAUGUAAUUCGGCACUGAGCCGUGUUUUUUCCUCAUUUUCGAGCACUAAGUCUCGCCUGUUGAUUAUCUGAACCGCUUUACCAAGCAUGAGUUGCCCCGUGUCAAGGUGACGGUGAGGUAUCCGUAUCCGGAGGCGUAGGAAUCCCUCGGCCCGUUCGGCCUUGUUGUCUGGGGUUCCUCUAGCUUAGUUGAAGAGACCCCUCGGCGCCCUUCGGUGGACGAGGCCGGGGUUGCGAUAUCAGUAUGAACAGAGCGGAGUUGGCUCGAGAAUGGGAACCUGGUUGGCCGGAGCCUAGCCGUGUUGUCCGUCAGGGGCCGACGCCAAAGUCGGUCAGUCGAGGCUCGGAUCGGGCUGGCGCCCUUGAAGCCGGUUGACCGAGGCCCAGGUAACCGGUUGAGCCGCCUGCUCGGGCCGGAUUCCCGGAGGAGCCCUGGACCGCGGCGCCGCCGAGGCCGGGUCGGGCUUUGCUGAAGACGUCGUCCGAUGCCGAGGGUGCUACAGCUCCCUUCGGCGUGAAGACCCGAGCCUGCAGGAUCCGAUCAUCUUGUAGCGUGUGCUUCCUGCGGCCGCCGAGGCCAGAGAAAACACCCUCGCUGCACUUGCGAAGCUGCGCCUUUUUUUCCUCCUGUUUCGAGCAUCUGGACUCUGUCGGUAACAGGGAUGUUUGUGUGAGCGAGAGUCGCUUUUCGCGGAAGGGACGAGUGAGGUAUCCGUAUCCAGAGCGUGGGAAUCCCUCGGUCGGUCGGCCUUGCCGCUUACGCGUACUUUCACCCGUCCAUGAGCCCUGUCCCCGACUUAGUCGAGAAAGCUUGAAGGACUGCUUCGGCAGGAGAGCUUCCGAACGUGAUGACUCGUUCGGUCACGGAGUCGCUUUAUCCGAGCGCAAGUUACUUAUCGCAGAAGGGGACGAGUGAGGUAUCCGUAUCCCGGAGGCGUAGGAGUCCCUCGGCUCGGUCAGCCUUGGCUGCUUACGUGUACUUCGUCGUUUCCAGGAUCCGCUUUCCGAAGUAGUCAAGAAGCACGAAAGAAAUCCUGCUAAAAAGAGAUCCUUUUUCGAGGAAAAUUCGACGCAGAGGGGUCUCCCCCCUUUUAGCCCCCGAGGGAGGGUCGGGUUUUGCCGAGGCUAGGCCGACCCUUCCUUGACAACUAAACUUUGCGUAGGUGCGAGGUAUAUGAACAACUUGAAAACAUCUUAAGGGUAGAAGCGACGUAGCUGUUUGAUGUUCCAAGCGUUGCCGUAGAUCUCGCCUUGAUUGCUGGCCAGCUUGUAUGUUCCGGGCUUCAGAACUUUGGCGAUGACGAAUGGCCCUUCCCAGGGGGCGUGAGCUUGUGCCUCCCUCGGGCGUCUUGUCGCAGCCGAAGCACCAGGUCGCCCACCUGGAGUUCUCGGGACCGGACCCCUCGGGCGUGGUAGCGUCGCAGGGACUGUUGGUACCGCGCCGAGUGUAGUAAGGCCCUGUCCCGAGCUUCCUCCAACUGGUCCAGCGAUUCCUCUCGGCUGGCUUGGUUGCUUUGUUCGGUGUAGGCCCUCGCCCUUGGGGAGCCGUAUUCCAGGUCAGUGGGCAAGAUAGCUUCAGCCCGUAGACCAGGAAAAACGGCGUGAAGCCCGUGGCACGACUCGGCGUCGUCCUUAGGCUCCAGACCACCGAGGGGAGUUCCUUCAUCCAUCGCCUGCCGAACUUGUUGAGGUCGUUGUAGAUCCGAGGCUUGAGCCCUUGUAGAAUCAUGCCGUUGGCACGCUCUACCUGCCCAUUCGACAUGGGAUGAGCCACGGCGGCCCAGUCCACCCGGAUAUGGUGAUCUUCGCAAAAAUCCAAGAAUUUUUUGCCGGUGAACUGGGUGCCGUUGUCGGUGAUGAUGGAGUUCGGGACCCCGAAGCGAUGGAUGAUGUUGGUGAAGAAUGCCACCGCCUGCUCGGACCUGAUGCUGUUCAGGGGUCGGACCUCGAUCCACUUGGAGAAUUUGUCGAUGGCGACCAGCAGGUGCGUGUAGCCCCCGGGCGCCUUCUGCAAGGGACCGACGAGGUCCAGACCCCAUACAGCGAAGGGCCAGGUGAUAGGUAUUGUCUGCAGAGUCUGAGCGGGCAGGUGUGUCCGCUUCGCAUAGAAUUGGCACCCUUCGCAGGUGCGGACAAUUCUAGUGGCGUCAGCCACCGCCGUUGGCAGUAGAAGCCUUGCCGGAAGGCAUUUCCAACAAGGGCUCGGGGUGCUGCGUGGUGGCCGCAAGCCCCGAGUGUACUUCUUGCAGCAGUUCCCGACCUUCGGCGAUGGAGAUGCAUCGCUGGAGGAUGCCCGAGGGGCUGCGAUGGUAGAGCUCCUCUUCGUCGCCCAGCAAGACGAAUGACUUGGCGCGUCGCGCUACCCGCCGAGCCUCGACUUGGUCGAGGGGUAGCUCUCCUCGACGGAGAUAUUGCAGGUACGGGGCCUGCCAAUCUUGGUCUGGCGUGGCCCCGCUCUGCCUUUCCUCGACGUUCAACGCCCCGCCCUCGGGGCCGAGGGUACCUCGGGCUGAACCGAGGGUACCUCGGGCUGAGCCGAGGAUACCUCGGGCUGAGCCGAGGGUACCUCGGGCUGAGCCGAGGGUACCUCAGGCUCGGGCGCAUCGUCGAGCUUGACGGAGGGUUGAUGCAGAUCCCGGGAGAAGACGUCCGGGGGGACUGUCGUUCGCCCCGAGGCUAUCUUGGCCAGCUCGUCUGCGGUUUCGUUGUAGCGCCGAGCGAUGUGGUUGAGCUCGAGCCCGAAGAACUUGUCUUCCAGGCGCCGAACCUCGUCGCAGUAGGCCUCCAUCUUCGGGUCGCGGCAGUGGGAGUUCUUCAUGACUUGGUCGAUGACGAGCUGCGAAUCACCGCGGGCGUCGAGGCGUCUGACCCCUAGCUCGAUGGCGAUCCGCAAUCCGUUGACCAGAGCUUCGUACUCGGCCACAUUGUUGGACGCCGGGAAGUGGAGGUGCAGCACGUAGCGCAAGUGCUUUCCGAGGGGCGAGAUGAAGAGAAGGCCCGCACCGGCCCCCGUCUUCAUCAGCGACCCGUCGAAAAACAUGGUCCAGAGCUCCGGUUGGAUCGGAGUCGUUGGUAGUUGGGUGUCGACCCAUUCAGCCACGAAAUCCGCCAACACUUGGGACUUGAUGGCCUUCCGAGGGGCGAACGAGAUCGUUUCGCCCAUGAUCUCCACUGCCCACUUUGCGAUCCUGCCCGAGGCCUCUCGGCACUGGAUGAUCUCCCCCAGGGGAAGGAUGACACCACAGUUACCGGAUGGGACUCGAAGUAGUGUCGUAGCUUCCGCCUCGUCAGGAUCACAGCAUACAGCAGCUUUUGAACUUGUGGGUAGCGGAUCUUAGUCUCGGACAGCACUUCGCUGAUGAAGUAGACCGGCCUCUGAACGGGCAAUGUAUGCCCUUCCUCCUGCCUUUCGACCACAAUCGCGGCGCUAACCACCUGAGUGGUCGCGGCGACGUAGACCAAGAGGGUUUCUCCGUCCGCCGGCGGCACCAAGACUGGCGCCUUUGUAAGGAGCGCCUUCAGGUUGCCGAGGGCUUCCUCGGCCUCAGGGGUCCAAACGAAACAUUCGGCCUUCCUUAAGAGGCGGUACAGAGGCAGACCUCUUUCGCCGAGGCGUGAGAUGAAACGGCUCAGGGCCGCGAGGCAUCCCAUGACCCUCUGUACCCCUUUUAAGUCCAUGAUGGGUCCCAUGCUGGUGAUGGCCGCAAUCUUCUCCGGGUUGGCCUCGAUGCCUCGCUCAGAGACGAUGAACCCUAGGAGCAUGCCUCGGGGCACCCCGAAGACACACUUCUCAGGAUUAAGCUUGACCCCUUUCGCCUUGAGGCACCGGAAUGUCACUUCAAGGUCGGAGAGGAGGUUGGGAGCCUUCCGUGUCUUGACCACGAUGUCAUCGACGUAGGCCUCGACUGUGCGACCGAUGUGUUCGCCGAACACAUGGUUCAUGCACCGCUGGUACGUCGCGCCUGCAUUCCUCAGGCCGAACGGCAUGGUGACGUAGCAGUACAUGCCGAACGGCGUGAUGAAAGAAGUCGCGAGCUGGUCGGACUCUUUCAUCCGGAUCUGGUGAUACCCCGAGUAGGCAUCGAGGAAGGACAGGGUUUCGCACCCAGCAGUGGAAUCCACGAUUUGGUCAAUGCGAGGCAGAGGGUAGGGAACCUUCGGACAUGCUUUGUUGAGACCAGUGUAGUCUACACACAUCCGCCAUUUCCCCCCUUUCUUCCUUACGAGCACAGGGUUGGCAAGCCAUUCGGGGUGGAAUACCUCUUUGAUGAACCCUGCCGCCAUUAGCUUGUGGAUCUCUUCGCCAAUCGCUCUGCGCUUCUCCUCGUCGAAUCGGCGCAGAGGCUGCCUGACGGGUCGGGCUCCGGCCCGAAUAUCCAGCGAGUGCUCGGCGACAUCCCUCGGUAUGCCGGGCAUGUCCGAGGGACUCCACGCAAAGACGUCGGCGUUUGCGCGGAGAAAGUCGACGAGCAUUGCUUCCUAUUUGGGGUCGAGCCCGGAACCGAUCCGGAUCUGCUUGGUGGUGUCGCCGCUGGGGUCGAGGGGGACGGCCUUGACCGUCUCCGCUGGCUCGAAGUUGCCGGCAUGGCGCUUCACGUCUGGGACCUCCUUGGAGAGGUUCUCCAGGUCGGCGAUGAGGGCCUCGGACUCGGCGAGGGCCUCGGCGUACUCCACGCACUCCACGUCGCAUUCGAACGCGUGUUUGUACGUGGGGCCGACGGUGAUGACCCCGUUGGGGCCCGGCAUCUUGAGCUUCAGGUAGGUGUAGUUGGGGACGGCCAUGAACUUCGCGUAGCAUGGCCUCCCUAACACGGCGUGGUAGGUUCCUCGGAACCCGACCACUUCGAACGUCAGGGUCUCCCUUCGGAAGUUGGAGGGUGUCCCGAAGCAGACUGGGAGAUCGAGUCGCCCGAGGGGCUGGACGCGCUUCCCAGGGAUGAUCCCGUGGAAGGGCGCAGCGCCUGCUCGGACGGAGGACGGAUCGACGCGCAGAAGCUUGAGGGUCUCGGCGUAGAUGAUGUUGAGGCAGCUGCCCCCGUCCAUCAGGACCUUGGUGAGCCUGACAUCGCUGACAACGGGGUCGACGACGAGCGGGUAUUUCCCCGGGCUCGGCACAUGGUCGGGGUGGUCGGCCCGGUCGAAAGUGAUGGGCUUGUCGGACCAGUCUAGGUAGACUGGCGCCGCCACCUUCACCGAGCAGACCUCCCGGCGCUCUUGCUUGCGGUGCCGAGCCGAGGUAUUCGCCGCAUGCCCUCCAUAGAUCAUGAAGCAGUCGCGGACCUCGGGGAACCCCCCUGCUGGGUGUUCUUCGUUCUUGUCGUCGUCGUGGGCCCUGCCUCCUUCGGCGGGUGGCCCGGCCCUGUGGAAAUGACGCCGAAGCAUAACGCACUCCUCGAGGGUGUGCUUGACGGGCCCCUGAUGGUAGGGGCACGGCUCCUUGAGCAUCUUGUCGAAGAGGUUUGCACCUCCGGGGGGCUUCCGAGGGUUCUUAUACUCGGCGGCGGCGACAAGGUCCGCGUCUGCGGCGUCGCGUUUCGAUUGCGACUUCUUCUUGCCUUUCUUCUUGGCGCCGCGCGGAGCAGACGCCUCGGGAGCUUCUUCCGACGGGCGGCCCUGGGCUGCUUGUCCUUUCGGAAGAUAGCCUCGACCGCCUCCUGGCCGGAGGCGAACUUGGUGGCGAUGUCUAUCAGCUCGCUCGCCCUGGUGGGGGUUUUGCGACCCAGCUUGCUCACCAGGUCGCGGCAAGUGGUGCCGGCGAGGAACGCGCCGAUGACAUCCGAGUCGGUGAUGUUGGGCAGCUCGGUGCGCUGCUUCGAGAAUCGCCGGAUGUAGUCCCGGAGCGACUCCCCCGGCUGUUGCCGGCAGCUUCGAAGGUCCCAGGAGUUCCCGGGCCGCACGUAUGUGCCCUGGAAAUUGCCAGCGAAGGCUUGGACCAAGUCGUCCCAGUUGGAAAUCUGCCCCGGAGGCAGGUGCUCCAACCAGGCGCGAGCAGUGUCGGAGAGGAACAGGGGGAGGUUGCGGAUGAUGAGGUUGUCGUCGUCCGUUCCGCCCAGUUGGCAGGCAAGGCGGUAGUCCGCGAGCCACAGUUCCGGUCUCGUUUCCCCCGAGUACUUUGUGAUAGUAGUCGGGGGUCGGAACCGGGUUGGGAAUGGCGCCCGUCGGAUGGCCCGACUGAAGGCCUGCGGACCGGGUGGUUCGGGCGAAGGACUCCGAUCCUCCCCGCUGUCGUAGUGCCCCCCACGCCUGGGGUGGUAGCCUCGGCGCACCCUUUCGUCGAGGUGAGCCCGACGGUCGCGUCGAUGGUGCUCGUUGCCGAGGUGGCCCGGGGCCGCAGGCGCGGUGUUGCACGUGCACCCGGUGUAGACCGAGGCCUCCCGCAUGAAUCGGGAAGUCGCGGCAUGAGGUUCCGAGGGAUAUCCUUGCCUCCGGGAUGCAGUGCUCUCGGCCCGCCGGGCCGCAGCGCCUUCCAGGAGAUUCUUGAGUUCUCCCUGGAUUUGCCGCCCCUCGGUGGUUGACGGCUCCGGCAUCGCGCGGAUGAGCAUCGCUGCGGUCGCCAGGUUCUGACCGACCCCGCUGGAUGCGGGCGGCGGCCUGAUCCUGACGUCGUUGGCGACGCGGUGCUGGAGACCUUGGGGCAGAUGACGUAUUUCUCCGGCCAGGGGUUGGUCCACCCAUGCCUGUCCGACGUCCCGACGGAUCGGCUCAAGCGCCCCUGUUCCCUCGUUGAGCCUGGCCUACGCCUCGCGGACUUGCUCGAGUUGUGGGUCGUAACCCCCGCCGGAGCGGGGACCACAGCUAGCUCCCGUGGGAUGUCGGCGCGAGGCACCGGCCUAGGGAGAUCACCAUCCUCCGGCAUGCCAAGAUGGUUGCCUUCGGUGGGAUCCCCUAGCUCGAUGUGGAAACAUUCGCGGCUUGGGCCGCAGCUCUCGUCACCGAGGCUGCGGCUUCCGUCGGAACAGUCGGAUAGACAGUAGUCACAUGCGGUCAUGAAGUCCCGCACGGCACUGGGGUUGCCAUGUCCGGAGAAAUCCCAACCGAUGCUGGGAUCGUCAUCUUCCUCGGACCCGGAGGGCCUGUAGGUCGAGACGUCCGUCAGUCGGUCCCAAGGUGACCGCAUACAGAACCUCAGUGGGGUUGCACUCGCCUCAAUGAGAGCGCCCGCCAAAACGAGGUCGUUUGGCGGGUUGAGGCCGAGUCGAAAUGACGCAAGAUGGGAGUUAGUCGUUACCUUUUGGUCGACGAGGAGCGACGUAGUCACAUCGGGGACUGGUUGCGCCGUCAUCUCUGGUUCGAGGGCGACGUCCUGCAGGCUUUCCGCGAGCGCGCCGGCGUCGUCUUCUUGCUCGGGGUCAGCGUGCCGCGGGGGGACGGCGCUUGCCUCCGUCUCGAACGCGAGGUCGACGUCCGGCGUGCCUUCCGUCGGGGCGUCGGGGGCGUCGAUUCGCUCGACGGCCGGCGAAGCGUGGCCUCCCGUCUGGCCUUGACGGCCCCGCCUCCUCCUCCGUUGGCGGGGGAGAGAACGGAGCGAGCCCGAAUGUUGCUCUUCCACCACGCGGGGUAGACGUCGUCGAUUCCGCCGCCGGCGGGCGGGUUGUCGGCCGCCAUUGUCGUAGUCGCGCGCCGGUGGAAGAAGUGUCAUGUCGUAGCUGCCGUCGAAGGACAUGAACUCAAGAGUCCCGAAACGAAGCACCGUCCCGGGCCGGAGAGGUUGCUGGAGACUGCCCAUCUGGAGCUUGACGGGGAGCUGUUCGUCAGCACGCAGCAGGCCCCUACCUGGCGCGCCAACUGUCGGCGUUUCGAGACAGGGGGGUCCCUAAGCCGACGAGUGAGUGUGCUGCGUGCCCCAGCCCAGAUGGGUCGAGCGCGUGGGCGAGCGCGAAGGGGGGAGAGGCGAGGCGGCCGGAGCCGAGCGUGAGAGAGGUGGAAGUCCCGCGGCCUUCGUGUUCGUCCCGCGCCCAGGUCAGGUGCGCUUGCAGUAGGGGGGUUACAAGCGUCCACGCGGGUGAGGGAAGCGAGCGGCCCCAAGAGAGCGCCUGUCCCGUCCUUGGUCCCGCGCGGCCAACCUUCUCUGAGAAGGCCCUGGUCCUUCCUUUUAUAGUCGUAAGGAGAGGAUCCAGGUGUACAAUGGGGAUGUAGCAGAGUGCUACGUGUCUAGCGGAGGGAGAGCUAGCGCCCUAGGUACAUGCCAACGUGGCAGCCGGAGAGAUCUGGGCACCCUGUUGGCGUGAUGUCGUGGCUGUUGGAGGUGCGGCGGAGCCUGAUGGAGGGACAGCUGUUGGAGCGGUCGAGUCCCUGCUGACGUUGUCCUGCUUCCGUAAGAGAGCUAGGGGCCGCCGUCGUCAUAGAGCUUGUGGAGUGCCAUCAUUGCCUCUCUGGCGGAGCUGGCCGGAUGAGACGCCGGUCUUGUUCUCCGUGACCCGAGUCGAUUCGGGGUGGGAUGAUGAUGGCGCCUCCUGUUGACGUGGCGGUCUGUGCCCUAGGCAGGGCGACGUGGGGUUUCCUCUGAAGCCGAGGUUGAGUCUGCCUUCUGUUGCCGUGGCCGAGCCCGAGCCGAGGGGUCGGGCGAGGCGGAAGUCGUUCGGCCGAGGCCAGGGCGGAGUCCGAGCCCUGGGGUCGGGCGAGGCGGAGUUUCGUCGUCUUCCGGGUCUUAGCCCGAGUCCGAGCCCUGGGGUCGGGCGGAGCGGAGUUCGCCGUCUUCCGGGUCUUAGCCCGAGUCCGAGCCCUGGGGUCGGGCGGAGCGGAGUUCGCCGUCUUCCGGGUCUUAGCCCGAGUCCGAGCCCUGGGGUCGGGCGGAGCGGAGUUCGCCGUCUUCCGGGUCUUAGCCCGAGUCCGAGCCCUGGGGUCGGGCGGAGCGGAGUUCGCCGUGGCGCCUUCGGCGAGGCCUGACUGCCUGUCAGACUUACUCUGUCGAGUGGCGCUGCAGUCGGAGUGGCGCAGGCGGCGCUGUCCUUCUGUCAGACUGGCCAGUGGAGCGGUGGAGUGACGGCGGUCACCUCGGCUCUGCCGGGGGCGCGUGUCAGGAUAGAGGUGUCAGGCCUCCUGUGCGUUAAAUGCCCCUGCAAUUUGGUCAGUCGGUGUGGUGAUUUAGUCAAGGUUGCUUCUGAGCGAAGCCAAGGCCUUGGGCGAGCCGGUGAUAUGUCCGCCAUAAAAAGGGGGCCUCGGGCGAGACGGAAGUCUCUCGAGGUCGGCUGCCUUCGGCCGAGGCUAGGCUCGGGUGAAGUGUGAUCUAGUCACUCGUGUGGACUGAUCCCUGACUUAAUCGUGCCCAUCAGGCCUUUGCAGCUUUAUGCUGAUGGGGGUUACCAGCUGAGAAUUAGGCGUCUUGAGGGUACCCCUAAUUAUGGUCCCCGACAAUUGGCGUAUGUAAACGAGGUGUAUGAACGACUUGAAAACAUCUUAUGGGUAGAAGCGACGUAGCUAUCGGAUAUUCCAGGCGUUGCUGUAGACCUCGCCUUGACUGUUGGCCAGCUUGUAUGUUUCGGGCUUCAAAAUCUUGGCGAUGAUGAAUGGCCCUUCCCAGGGAGGCGUGAGCUUGUGAUGCCCUCGGGCAUCUUGUCGUAGCCGAAGCACCAAGUCGCCCACCUGGAGGUCUCGGGACUGAACCCCUCGGGCGUGGUAGCGUCGCAGGGACUGCUGAUACCGCGCCGAGUGUAGUAAGGCCAUGUCCCGAGCCUCUUCCAGCUGGUCCAGUGAGUCUUCUUGGUUGGUUCGAUUGCUUUGGUCGUCGUACGCCCUCGUCCUCGGGGAACCAUAUUCUAAGUCUGUGGGCAAGAUGGCUUCGGCCCCAUAGACUAGAAAGAACGGCGUGAAGCCCGUGGCUCGACCCGGUGUUGUCCUCAGACUCCAGACCACCGAGGGGAGUUCCUUCAUCCAUCGCCUGCCAAACUUGUUGAGGUCGUUGUAGAUCCGUGGCUUGAGUCCUUGCAGAAUCAUGCCGUUAGCACGCUCUACUUGCCCAUUCGUCAUGGGGUGAGCUACGGCGGCCCAGUCCACCCGGAUGUGGUGAUCUUUGCAGAAGUCCAGGAACUUUCUGCCAGUGAACUGGGUGCCGUUGUCAGUGAUGAUGGAGUUCGGGACCCCAAAGCGAUGGAUGAUGUUGGUGAAGAACGCCACCGCCUGUUCGGACCUGAUGCUGUUUAGGGGUCGGACCUUGAUCCACUUGGAGAAUUUGUCGAUAGCGACCAGCAGGUGCGUGUAGCCCCCGGGUGCCUUCUGCAAGGGACCGACGAGGUCCAGACCCCACACAGCAAACGGCCAGGUGAUGGGUAUUGUCUGAAGAGCCUGAGCGGGCAGGUGGGUCUGCUUUGCAUAGAAUUGACACCCUUGGCAGGUGCGUACCAUCCUAGUGGCAUCGGCCACCGCGGUUGGCCAGUAAAAACCCUGUCGGAAGGCAUUCCCAACAAGGGCUCGAGGUGCUGCGUGGCGACCGCAAGCCCUCGAGUGUAUUUCUUGUAAUAACUCCUGACCUUCGACGAUGGAUAUGCAUCGCUGGAGGAUGCCUGAGGGGCUACGGUGGUAGAGCUCCUUCCCGUCCCCCAGCAAGACGAAUGACUUGGCGCGCCGCGCCAGUCGCCGAGCUUCAGCUCGGUCGAGGGGCAGCUCUCCUCGGUGGAGAUAUUGCAGGUACGGGGUCUGCCAGUCUCGAUUAGGCGGGACCCCAUUCCACGCUUCCUCGACGCGCAGUGCCUCACCCUCGGGGGCCGAGGGUGCCUUGGGCUGAGCCGAGGGCGCCUCGGGCAGGGCCGAGACCUUCUCGGGCUCGGGCAUGUCGUCGGUCUUGAUUGAGGGUUGAUGUAGGUCUCGGGAGAAGACGUCCGGGGGAACCGUUGUCCGCCCCGAGGCUAUCUUAGCUAGCUCGUCCGCAGUCUCGUCGUAUCAUCGGGCGAUGUGGUUGAGCUCGAGCCCAUAGAACUUGUCCUCCAGGUGCCGAACCUCAUCGCAGUAGGCUUCCAUCUUCGGGUCGCGACAAUGGGAGUUCUUCAUGACUUGGUCGAUGACAAGCUGCGAGUCGCCAUGAGUGUCGAGGCGUCGGACCCCUAGCUCGAUGGCGAUGCACAACCCGUUAACCAGAGCCUCGUACUCGGCCACAUUGUUGGACGCCGGGAAAUGGAGGCGCAACACAUAGCGGAGGUGCUUCCCGAGGGGUGAGAUGAAGAGCAGGCCCGCGCCCGCUCCUGUUUUCAUCAGCGACCCGUCGAAAAACAUGGUCCAGAGUUCUGGCUGGAUCAGAGCCGUUGGAAGCUGGGUGUCGACCCAUUCAGCCACAAAGUCCGCCAAGACUUGGGACUUGAUGGCCUUCCGAGGGGCGAACGAGAUUGUCUCGCCCAUGAUCUCCACCGCCCACUUUGCGAUCCUACCCGAGGCCUCUUGGCACUGGAUGAUCUCUCCCAGGGGGAAGGAUGACACCACGGUCACCGAAUGAGACUCGAAGUAGUGUCGCAACUUUCGCCGCGUCAGAAUUACCGCGUACAGUAGCUUCUGGAUUUGCGGGUAGCGGAUUUUGGUCUCGGACAGUACUUCACUGAUGAAGUAGACCGGUCUCUGGACGGGCAAUGCAUGCCCCUCUUCUCGUCUCUCAACCACGAUCGCGGCGCUGACCACCUGAGUGGUAGCGGCGACGUGAUCAAGAGGGCUUCUCCGGCAACGGGGGGACCAAGACGGGCACUGGUAAGGAGCGCUUUUAGGUUCCCGAGGGCUUCCUCGGCCUCGGGGGUCCAAGCGAAGCGCUCGGUCUUCCUCAAGAGGCGGUACAGAGGUAGGCCUCUUUCGCCGAGGCGUGAGAUGAAACAGCUCAAGGCCACAAGACAUCCCAUGACCCUCUGUACUCCUUUCAAGUCCUUGAUGGGGCCCAUGUUGGUGAUGGCCGCGAUUUUCUCCGGGUUGGCCUCGAUGCCCCCGCUCGGAGACGAUGAACCCCAAGAGCAUGCCUCGGGGGACUCCGAAGACACACUUCUCGGGAUUGAGUUUUACGCCUUUCACCUUGAGACACCGGAAUGUCGUUUCAAGGUCGGAGAGGAGGUCAGAGGCUUUCCUCGUCUUGACUACGAUGUCAUCGACGUAAGCCUCGACCGUUCGACCAAUGUGCUCUCCAAACACGUGGUCCAUGCACCUUUGGUAUGUCGCACCCGCAUUCCUCAAACCGAAUGGCAUAGUAACGUAGCAGUACAUGCCAAAGGGUGUGAUGAAAGAAGUCGCGAGCUGGUCGGACUCUUUCAUCCUGAUUUGGUGAUACCCUGAGUAGGCAUCAAGGAAAGACAGGGUUUCGCACCCAGCAGUGGAAUCCAUGAUUUGAUCGAUGCGAGGCAGAGGGUAGGGAACCUUCGGACAUGCUUCGUUUAGACCAGUGUAGUCUACACACAUCCGCCAUUUCCCUCCUUUCUUUCUCACAAGCACAGGGUUGGCAAGCCAUUCGGGAUGGAAUACCUCUUUGAUGAACCCUGCAGCCAUCAGCUUGUGGAUCUCCUCGCCUAUGGCUCUGCGCUUUUCUUCGUUGAAUCGGCGCAGAGGCUGCUUCACGGGUCAGGCUCCAGCUCAGAUAUCCAGCGAGUGCUCGGCGACAUCCCUCGGUAUGCCAGGCAUGUCCGAGGGACUCCACGCAAAAACUUCGGCGUUCGCGCGGAGAAAGUCGACAAACACUGCUUCCUAUUUGGGGUCGAGCUCGGAGUCGAUCCGUAUCUGCUUGGAGGCGUCGUUGCUGGGGUCGAGAGGGACGGAUUUGACCGUCUCAGCUGGCUCGAAGUGGCUGGUGUGGCGCUUCGCAUCUGGCGCCUCCUUGGAAAGGCUCUCCAGGUCGACGAUGAGGGCCUCGGAUUCGGCGAGGACCUCGGCGUACUCCACGCACUCCACGUCGCAUUCGUACGCGUGUCGAUACGUGGAGCCAACGGUGAUGACCCCGUUGGGGCCCGGCAUCUUGAGCUUGAGGUAGGUGUAGUUGGGGACGACCAUGAACUUGGCGUAGCAUGGCUUCCCCAGCACUGCGUGGUAGGUUCCUCGGAACCCGACCAUCUCGAACGUGAGGGUUUCCUUUCGGAAGUUGGAGGGAGUCCCGAAGCAGACGGGCAGAUCGAGUUGCCCAAGGGGUUGGACGCGUUUCCCAGGGAUGAUCCCGUGAAAAGGCGCCGCGCCGGCCCGGAUCGAGGACAGAUCGAUCUGCAGGAGCCCGAGGGUCUCGGCGUAGAUGAUGUUGAGGCUACUGCCUCCGUCCAUGAGGACCUUGGUAAGCCUGAUGUUGCCGAUGACGGGAUCGACAACGAGCGGGUACUUCCCUGGGCUCGGCACGCGGUCGGGGUGGUUGCCCUGGUCGAAGGUGAUGGGCUUGUCGGACCAGUCUAGGUAGACUGGCGCCGCCACCUUUACCGAGCAGACCUCCCGGCGCUCUCGCUUGCGGUGCCGAGUCGAGGCAUUCGCCACAUGCCCACCGUAGAUCAUGAAGCAGUCGUGGACCUCGGGGAACUCCUCUGCCUUGUGAUCCUCCUUCUUGUCGUUGUCGUGGGCUCGGCCACCUUCCGCCGGUGGCCCGGCCCUGUGGAAGUAGCGCCGAAGCAUGACGCACUCCUCAAGGGUGUGCUUGACGGGACCCUGAUGAUAGGGGCACGACUCCUUGAGCAUCUUGUCGAACAGGUUGGCGCCUCCGGGAGGCUUCCGCGGGUUCCUGUGCUCGGCGGCGGCGACAAGGUCCGCGUCGGCGGCGUUGCGUUUCGCUUGCGACUUCUUCUUGCCCUUCUUCCUCGCGCUGCGCUGAGCGGACGCCUCGGGGACGUCUUCCGGCUGGCGCCCCUGAGGCUGCUUGUCCUUCCGGAAGAUGGCCUCGACUGCCUCCUGCCCAGAGGCGAACUUGGCGAUGUCCAUCAGCUCGCUCACCCUGGUGGGAGUCUUGCGACCCAGCUUGCUCACCAGGUCGCGACAAGUGGUGCCGGCGAGGAACGCGCCGAUGACAUCCGAGUCGGUGAUGUUGGGAAGCUCGGUGCGCUGCUUCGAAAAUCGCUGGAUGUAGUCCCGGAGGGAUUCUCCCGGCUGCUGGCGGCAGCUUUGUAGAUCCCAUGAGCUCCCAGGGCGCACGUAUGUGCCCUGGAAGUUGCCGGCGAAGGCUUUGACCAGGUCGUCCCAGUUGGAGAUCUGCGCAGGAGGCAGAUGCUCCAGCCAGGCUCGGGCAGCGUCGGAGAGGAAUAGGGGAAGGUUGUGGAUGAUGAGGUUAUCAUCGCUCGUGCCACCCAGCUGGCAGGCCAGCCGGUAGUCCGCGAGCCACAGCUCCGGCUUUGACUCCCCCGAGUACUUGGUGAUGGUAGUCGGGGUUCAGAACAGGGUCGGGAACGGCACCCUUCGAAUGGCCCGGCUGAAAGCCCACGGACCGGGUGGUUCGGGCGAGGGGCUCCGAUCCUCCCCGCUGUCGUAGCGUCCCCCACGCCUGGGGUGGUAGCCUCGGCGUGCCUUCUCGUCGAGGUGGGCUCGACGGUCACGGCGGUGGUGCUCGUUGCCGAGGUGACCCGGGGCCGCAGGCGCGGUGUUCCGCGUGUGCCCGGUGUGGACCGAGGCUUCCCGCAUGAAUCGGGAAGUCGUGGCGCGAUGCUCCGGGGGGUACCCCUGCCUUUGGGAGGCAGAGCUUUCGGCCCGUCGGACCGCGACAUCUUCUAGGAGAUUCUUGAGCUCUCCCUGGAUACGCCGCCCCUCGGUGGUGGAUGGUUCCGGCAUCGCUUGGAGUAGUAUCGCUGCUGCAGCCAGGUUCUGGCCGACCCCAAUGGAAGCCGGAGGCAGCCUUGCUCUAGCGUCAUUGGUGAUGCGGUGCUGGACGUCCUGGGCCAGGUGACGCGCUUCUCCGGCCGGUGCUUGACCUGCCCACUCCUGCCCGACAUUUUGUCGAAGCUGCACAAGUUGUCCUGCUUCCUCGUCGAGUCUGGCUUGUACUUUGCGGAUUUGCUCGAGCUGUGCGUCCUGACCCCCCGCAGGGACUGGGACCACAGCUAGCUCCCGAAGGAUGUCAACGCGAGGCGCAGGCCUAGGGGGAUCACCGUCCUCUGGCAUACCAAGAUGGUUGCCUUCGUCGAGACCCCCUAGAUCGACGUGGAAGCAUUCGCGACUUGGGCCACAAUCCUCGUCGCCGAGGCUGUGGCUGCUAUCGGAGCAAUCAGAGAGGCAGUAGUCACAUGCGGUCAUGAAGUCCCGCAUGGCACUGGGGUUAUCGAGCCCGGAGAAAUCCCAACCGGAGUCGGGUUCGUCAUCUUCCUCGGAACCCAGAGGCUCGUAGGUCGAGACGGCCGUCAGCCGGUCCCAGGGUGACCGCAUAUGGUACCCUGGAGGGUUUGGACAUGCCUUUACGAAAGCGUCCACCGAAGCGGGGUUGCUUGGUGGGUCGCAGCUGGAUCUAAAAGGCAUGGAACGGGAAACGGACGGUACCUCUUGAUCGACGGGUGGUGAUGAAGUCGCGUCAGGGACGGACUGCACCGUUGUCUCAGGUACGAGGCUAACGCCCAGCAUGUCCUUCGCGAGCGUGUUGGUGUCGUCCGUCUGCUUGGAGUUGGCAUGUUGCGGGGAAACGGCGCUCGUCUUCGUCUCAGACGCGAGGUCGACGCCCGACGUGUCCCCCGUUGGGGCGCCGGCGCCGUCGACUCGCUCGACAGCCGACGAGGUGCCGCCUCCUGCUUGGCCAUGCCUGCCCCGCCUCCUCCUCUGUCGGCGGGGAAGGUGACAGGACAGACCCGGAUGGUGCUCUUCCGCCACGAGGGGAAGACGUCGUCGAUUCCGCCGCCGGCGGGCGGGCUGACGGCCGCCAUUGUCGUUGUCGCGCGGCGGAGGAAGGAGUAUCAUGUCGUAGCUGCCGUCGAGGGACAUGAACUCCAGACUCCCGAAACGAAGCAUCGUCCCGGGUUGAAGAGGUUGCUGGAGACUACCCAUCUAGGGCUUGACGGGAAGCUGUUCAUCAACAUGCAACAGGCCCCUACCUGGCGCGCCAACUGUUGGCGUUUCGACCCCGGGGGGUCCCUGGACCGACGAGUAAAUUGUCGCCGCGUGUCCCAGCCCAGACGGGUCGGCGCGAGACGGAGCAUGAAGGGGGAAGAAACAGGCAAAGGGGAAACCCGCGGCCUUCGUGUUGCCCUACGCCCAGGUCGGGUGCGCUUGCAGUAGGGGGGUUACUAGCGUCCGCGAGGGAGAGAGAGAGAGACCGUCCGCUAGCCCGUUCUCCGGCGUGGCCAACCUUCUCGUACGAGAGCCCUGGACCUUCCUUUUAUAGGCGUAAGGAGAACGCCCAGGUGUAAAUGGGGGGUGUAGCAGUGUGCUAACGUGUCUAGCAGAGAGGAGCUAGAGCCCUAAGUACAUGCCGUCGUGGCAGCCGGAGAGGUUUUGGCGCCCUAUUCAUGUGAUGUCGUGGCUGUCAGAGGAGUGCUUGAGCCUUGUGGAAGUACAGCUAUCGGGGCUGUCGGAUCCUUGCUGACGUCUCCUUGCUUCUGUAAGGGGCUGAGAGCCGCCGUCGUCAUGGAGCACGUGGGGUGCCAUCAUUACUUGUUUACCGGGGCGAGCCAGAUGGGACACCAGUGUUGUUCCCCGUAGCCUGAGCUAGCUAGGGGUAGGGUAAUGAUGGCCUUCCCUGUGACGUGGCGGGUCCGAGCCCGAGGUCGGGUGAGGCGGAGGCUCCUCCGAGGUCAAGGUUGAGUCCGAGCCCUGGGGUCGGGCGAGGCGGAGGCUCCUCCGAUGUCGAGGCUGAGUCCAAGCCCUGGGGUCAAGCGAGGCGGAGUCCGUCUUCCGGGGUCGAGGCUGAGUCCAAGCCCUAGGGUCGGGCGAGGCGGAGUUCGUCUUCCGAGGCCGAGGCUGAGUCCGAGCCCUGGGGUCGGGCGAGGCGGAGUCCGUCUUCCGGGGUCGAGGCUGAGUCCGAGCCCUGGGGUCGGGCGAGGCGGAGUUCGUCUUCCGAGGCUGAGGCUGAGUCCGAGCCCUGGGGUCGGGCGAGGCGGAGUUCGUCUUCCGAGGCCGAGGCUGAGUCCGAGCCUUGGGGUCAGGCGAGGUGGAGCUUCCCAUGGCGUCUGAGGUUGGACUUAGCUGCUGUCAGCCUCACUCUGUCGAGUGGCACAACAGUCGGAGCGGGGCAUGCGACGCUGUUUUCCUGUCAGGUCGGUUAGUGGAGCGGCGAAGUGACUGCGGUCACUUCGGCUCUGUCGACUGAGGAGCGCGCGUCAGGAUAAGGUGUCAGUCGAUCCUUGCAUUAAAUGCUCCUGCAAUACAGUCGGUUGGCAUGGCGAUCUGGCCAAGGUUGCUUCUCCGCGAAGACUGGGCCUCGGGCGAGCCGAAGGUGUGUCCGUCGCUUGAGGGGACCCUCGGGCGAGACGUGAAUCCUUCGGGGUCGACUGCCUUUGCCCAAGGCUAGGCUCGGGCGAGGCGAGAUUGUGUCGCUUGAGUGGACUGAGCCUUGACCUUAAUCGCGCCCAUCAGGCCUUUGCAGCUUUGUGCUGAUGGGGGUUACCAGCUGAGAUUAGGAGUCUUGGGGGUACCCCUAAUUAUGGUCCCCGACAGGUGUCAUAUAAAAUUUGGAGAUAAAUAGACCUAAAGUCUGGCUGUCUGUCAAUUCAGAGUCUGAACUUUUACUGACAGUGACUUGGGAUGAACUUUGGGAGCUCUUUUGAAGAUAAUCCGGUGAGUAUUUGAGUAUGGUUACUAUAGCAAGAUUGUAGCUGGAUUAUAGGGCUAGAACUUUGUUACAGGUGGAUUAACAAGUUCUCACAUAAAAAUUGGAGAUCUGGGCGCUGCAAACCUCUCUGUCAAGUGCUCUGAAUGUCGUUCUGAUGGUACAGUGCCGCAGAAAGAUCUCAGGUUCAGUCCCCCUCGCCGCCGGUGACCUCUGCGCAAGGAUUCGCGCUGAUCACGACGAUUCGUGCUGGACUCGGGCAGGAUAGUGCCGGAAGGGUAAAAAGAUCAGAAGGGGAGCGGAUUUGGUCGCAAGGAGAAGCUUAUCAACCGCGCAUGUAGCCGUGCGACGUGGCCGGGCCGCCGGUGUCAUCGUGGAAACUCCGGCGACCUCAAUUAUGCCACAUCGUGGCUCUUUACUGCGCGGUAGUAACUGUGGCACGCCUAGGCUCACCAUUUCUGAACCGCUGCACCGGUGAACGCCACGACUGAGCCACCGGUGACCCUCUUCCUCUCCGGCCGCCAGCACGCCAUGCCCAAAUUAGGAGCCACCGCCCUUGGAUACUAUAAAUUGGUGCCCCAACCUACUCCGCUAAGUAGUUCUGCACCUAGUCAACCAACCCUCACCUCCAAUCGUCCCCCACAGCUCCCCAAUUUGGGAUUUCCCCCAAAUCUAUCAAGAACACUGCAGUGUGUGAGCUCACCGUGGCCAGCUCUCCACAGGUCCGAUCAUGUCCUUCUCGCUCUUGUUUCAACUCUCUUAUGUGCUCUUGAUGCUUCUUGACCCAGCCAAUUGAGCUAGAACACGUAGGAUCGUCGGGAACGCCUCAGUUCAUCCGUAGUUUGCGCUGUCACCGUAGGCAGAGCGAUUAGAAGCUAGAGCUUUGCAAUUGAUUGAGGGGAAAUGGUCGUUAGGGAUAGAAUUAGGUGUCAGCCACACCGGAGCACCGGUCAUUGCGUUUUCAAAAAUAAAACUUGAUGGUGGAUCCAUCAUGGCCAUGAUGGUUCAACAUUAGAAAAGAUGUACCUCUGCCAGGUACCAGACUUUGGGGUUUUAAAUGAUAAAGCUGAGACCGGGCGAGUGACUUGCACGAGAAGAGAGUCUCAGUGUAGUGUCUCCGUCUAAGUCGAUUAAGGACCAUACUGAUGUGGGUCUACUGACCGAGGACCCUUUAACUGGUCACAUGCAUCAUCAUGGGUAAGCUUUGCCUCGGGCAGACUAAUACCAGAAAGGCCAACACGCAAUGGGAGUGGAGAGAUGGCGAGAGUAGCGUGUACCCUCCGUAGCAAGAGGCUGGACAGUGGUGUAUUUGUGCUCUCGGUUGGCGUGAACCCGGUCUGGUCUUAAGAAACCCAGUGGCGAGUUGACAUAUGCAAUGGUUAAGUGCUACAUAUGUCGUGUGAUUGGAGAUCCCCAACUGGGUAUUAAUCGAUUCAGAUCGCCGUUACUUCUCGGACAUGAAGACUUGGUCACUGACUUACACGUAGCAUUCCAGUAAGCUAAAAGGGGUGAUAAAAGAUGGCUAGUGCAGGUCAAGUGCUUGAACUAGGGUAGAAAGAACUCUAGUUACAGGUAAUGACUUAACUUGCUAAUAAAACUGGAUUUUUAAGGAUCCACUAUUAGUAAGCAUUUUUGCAAACAGAGUCUUUAUUCUUGAAUAACCUUAUCUUGACUCCCUUAAGCCAGCAUAUCCUUGAGAGUCUUUUCUUUUGAUGGGUAAGACUUGCGAAAGUACAUUCCGUACUCAGGGUUUUCGAACCCCAUGUUGUUGUAGGUGAGGAAACAACAGACUUUUGUUGUUUUUGCUCUAAGGUGGUGCCCAAGGACGAACCUCAAUAGUGAAGUGGUUGCGGGAGGAUGCUGACCUCCCUUUUGAAAAACAAUAUACUAUUAUGCGGGAGGGGUUUUUGCCUCCCAAGUUUGUAAUAAUAAUACUUAUGCACUCAUAUACCCUGGUGAUGUAAUAAUAAC
rnacentral:lncRNA from 1 species